rnacentral:lncRNA from 1 species
AUAAGCCGCACCCCCGCCCUCCUCUCCCUCCCACCUCCCAAGCCGCCACUCUCAAGCCCUCUCCCUCAUCCGCGUGCAGCAUCUCUCUAGCUCCCCCCUAGAGAGAUCUCACAGCCGAAUAAGCAGCAGCAGCGAGAGACCCCCUCCGGCCUCCUCCUCCCAGCACCAGGAACCACCAAGUCAAGUCGCCAAUGGCCGGUCUCAGGAUGAAGCUCGUCGCCGUCGCCGCCAUGGCCGCCGCGCUCGUGGCCUCCGCGGCCGCCGCCGAGGCCCCGGCCCCGGCGCCCGCCUCCGACGCCGCGGCCGCCGUGCCCCUCGCCGCGGCCUCAUUCGCCGCCGCCGCCUUCGGAUACCUCUUCUGCUAAAUCCGUCGUCGACUCUCCGUAGCGUGGCGUGUGACCCUUCUUGGUCUUGUCCUUCUUGGUUUAUUGUUCUUGGUGUGUGUGCGUGUGUUCGUGCCGGGGUGUGAGGUGUGGGCGCGUGCGUGCGUGUAUGUAUGGGUCGCGGUGGUGUGGGAGGUGUCGAGUACGUGCGUGCGCCGGCGUGCCAUUCUUUGUGUUGGUGAUCAUGUACUUACUCUCUUGUUCUUGCUAUGAAUGAGACCAUUUAUUUGAUUCUUUCUCUCCAGCUUAAACACCAAGUCUUGACUGUUCUGAUGCAUGCAUGCUGUUGAGAUGAUGAAUCUUUGCGUUUCGCAUCACCAAAUGUUCCUUCAGGAAAUUUCGUGCUAAAAAACCUCAGUAUACAAAUGAAACUAAAGUACCAAAUUAACUCUGUUCAACGUCAAAUUUGCCAUAUGAAGAUCGAUUUGAUGCACGCUCCGCAUUUGCGACCGGCAAAACAUCAAUUAUUCAAACACGGAACUGCUGGCUUCUGUGUCGUACGAAGAGGUGAAAAAUGAAUUAAGAUCUUCGAGCAAUGCAAUUUGGAAACCAAAUAGGCCUCUUCUGUUUUCUGAAGAACAGUCUCGGGGAUUUUUCUCAUUUUUUGUGUGGUACGUACAUGUACUACUUGGAAGGUUUGUUUGGAGACGCCAGGUUGUUAAUUGGGUGAGCGAUCCGAAGGGUGGAAUGAUUGGACCAUGUGGCCGCCAUGUGCAGCUGCUCAGCAUCGGUCCACAGCUGAGUUGUCGAGGUAGGGCAACCGUACCAACUGUAUCAUUUUCUGCGACGACGCACCAACGGUAUCAUGCAAACGGUAAGAUGGUGAAUUGAACUCCGAACCGUGCGUUUCGCUGAGUUACAGCGCAGUUGAACCGUUCGUGUGUUUGUUGUCAAAAAAUUUGCGCUUAGUGUUUGCCCAGGAAGAAUAAUGGCCUGAGCGUCUAAGUUCAUUUUUUUUUGUCUGUAUAAGUUCAUUUUUGGGAGGAAAGGGAGGGCGACAGGCGUCAGGCUGGAAAACUGUAAGCCCGGCCCGAUUGUAAACAUGAAACUGGACGACGCCCAUGUUGAAAAUUGUGGGCUAUGCGGUCUACCCUUUAAUUCCUCUGCCUUUUUCGUGGUGCCGCUCACAAUGCAUAUUGAGGUUAAAGGGUAGGGACCUAUUUAUAGACUCCACUUCUAGACGUUUUAUUAUUCCACCUGUUUCCGGAAAGAUCCGUACAACUCCUAGGCAAUGUUACCAACCACGAUAAAACAUGCCGGUUUUCCGAGUCUAAAUAUAUUAGUCAUUAGCACACAUGUGUGAGUCAUGUGCAUGAUUAGAUUGUAUAUGUGAGAUCAACUUCCAAUCUUAAGCAUGUGGGUCAACAGCCUGCAGAGCCGAUCCUGCAAAACAAACCCAGCUCUUCCACCCUGUGAUGUCCCAGGAAAAUACAUACGUACAUAUAAAUUCCAGUAGAGUCGAUCCCUAUUAAUUCCUCUAUUGUAUUCCAUCACAGUCGUCCUCGGCACCUCGAGUUUUACUUCCUCGAGUGAAAUUCCGCAUCAGUUAUUCCCCGUCACAAAUAUUAAUAAUAUGAAUAAUUCCAAGUUGAUUUAAAUAAAUAAUAGUCAUGUUGAAUAAAUGUUGAAAGCCACAUAAUUAUCCAACAUCUCUCACUUGGCUGAAACAUAUUUAAUCAAUAAAUGAAGUUCCAUGUGUAAACAUGUGUUGAAAACAAUUCCUGACUAUAGUCAGUGAAUCUGCACCAUAUUAGAAUUAUUAUACAAAUAAAUGAAAUAUACGUACCUGAGUUUAAUCAUUCCACACCUAGUGUAUACAAUGCUAACUUCCUCAAUGUAUUUACUUUUAACCAAAAACUCAAGAAUAGUUGACAGGUUGUGAUGCACAUUCCACAAUCUCAUAUGAUGUGUGAGAUUCCCUUAGCCACACAUAUUUCCUUACAUUACUUGAAUGCACCAAUAAAUUCCGGUAGCUAAGGUUCAUAGUAUAAAAAAAAUUAAUACAAAUUCCAAUACCAUUAAGUAUCCCAAUUUUCCUCAGGAGUUCAAACAUAAUUCCUCACUAAGUAUGAUUCCCCUUAUCAAGGUAUUUUAAGAGGUUUGCAAUUUCCCAUGAAAAAUGUAUCGCUACACUUACUAUGUAUUUCCACUCCCAAAAAAGGAAGUCUCAAACAUGCCUUUCAUUUGAAAGUUACAAGAUAACCAAGCUUUCACUUCCAUCAAUGUAAUAUUAUCAUUAACGUAUAUAAUAGUAAUGCAAAAUAUUUUACACUUACGUUUGUAGAUGGUCGUUUUUCUUCCUCUAGAAAACCAUGUGACCUGCUAUUCCAUUGGUGUGAAGCUUGUUAUAAGACAAUCAUUAAUAGCAAACCAUGUAUUUAUUUCCUCUUUCCCUAAAUUCCAGAGAAAAAGUUUCCACAAGAAAUAUAUAUAUUCCUUUGUGUAAAUAAUUGAAUAACAAGAGUGGCAUUAUAAUAUUCCAUUGAACCUAAUUCCUUGUAAAACAAAAAAAACUUACGAACAAUGGGCCUGCGGUUCUUUGGUGAGAUAAUAAAUUCCCAAACUUUAUUAUUCCUUAUCGAGUUCAUUCCUUCCCACAUUUCUUCCACCCAUAACUUGUGUUCAUGGAAUAUUUAAACCUAGACUUUGGUUAUUCCUCUAAAAAUUUAGAGUGGCUUCCCCAAACAACAGACAAAAAUCUAAACAUGAUAUUCCAUGUUAUUUCCUCGCACUUAUCCUAAGCAUGUUAGUGUCAGGAGUUUCACUUGUAGUUUCCUUUGGACCAAGAAUAUACUCUAGUAUGAUUGCCAAUAAUUCCACCAUUUUCCAUAAAAAUAUUGUGCUCCCACUUUCCACCAGUUUUCCUUUUCCAGAUCAAAAACAUUCUGUUGAUCCACUAGAAUAAGAAUUAACAAAUUCCUGAUGUGUGCUUUGUAGUAAUUGAGAAUUUCCUUCCAAAAUAAAAUACUUCCUUCCAGUCUACAAACCAUAACAAGUGACUGUGCUAGAUGAAAAAAGUUAUAUACGUAAUAUGUAAUGCUUCUUCCAAAGGAAAAAAAACAAUGGAGCAUCAAAGAUAUUCGAUUCCUCCACUCAAUUGUGAAGCAUAUGGGAGUAUUAAAGAUAUUCAGUUCCUCCUAUCAUGUGAAGUAUACAAUAUAUUACAAUGGUGAAUGAAGUUCCAUGCUCUUAUUCAGUCGUUAUAUUCCUGAAGUGUACUACCCCCACCAACCAGUAGUUAAAACUUUGAAAUCUUUUAAUCAACUGAUUUUCCACUUCAGUACAACAUGUUAACAUCACAAUAAAACCUUCCGACUUGUAUAAUGAAAGGUAAACAUAUAACCAUAUAAAGUGCAAUCAUCGAUGAGUGAAAAGAAAUAAACAAUCUGACCUCGAGUGGGAGUGUCCAAAAGAAAAUACCAUAAGUAUACAUAAAGAAUGACGUGAAGCUUUUUAUCUCCUUCCACCUUAAGAAAAGGCGUGCAAGUUAAAUACCCGUUACAUAUGUGCUUCAGAAAACCAAAUUCCUCCCACUAAAGUUUUGAAUUCCAGAAUUAGUAAGCCACUUGACGGUUCCAUGAUAUGUGACCAAGUCGUCCCAUGACAAAAAUAAUAAAUUUCAAGCAUGUGUUCCCAAUAUCAGCAUUCCUUAGUAUGGAGAUAUCUUCCCCAAAUAAAAAUUGGGUUGCUAACUUCCAAUGGACCAUCAAGAAAGAAUAGACCAUUGUGUGAAAUUCCAUAAUGCACUGAUUUUAUCAUUGAGCAAUAUUUCUAGUCAUCAUUUUCCAAAUAGUAUUUCAUAAACAAUGGGUUCCAAAAUAGAAGCAUAAAUUAAAUCCCUUCACAAUGAAGUUGCAUAUAGAGUGUCGUAUAACAAUGAUACUUUUCCUCCACCAAGGAGUUCAAUGGCAAAAUUUCCAAUUCCAAAGUGUAUAGCAUUGUGUAGCAAUGACAAAACACACAAAAUAUGUAAUUUCCUUUGGUAUUGUUAGCAUGCCAAAAAAUGCUAUCGUAUUCCAACAAUAUAAUACAUAGAAGCUUAAAUCCACAAUCCAACUAUUUGAAAAAAAGGUAGUGUCAUAUACAUAUUUAAUGCAAGUAUUAGCAAUGUGCAUGCCUUUAAGUGAGAGCAAAUUUCCUUAAUUUUCCAUGAGUGAUUCCCAUCUUCCUCCAUAAAGAAGUGAUUGUCAUAAUAGACACCUUUUAAAUUCCUUCUCACGCAAGGUUAGUAUAAGCAUAUCCAUCAAUGAUGAUUUUCCUCCAGAACGGAGUUUGAGGGCAUAAUUUCCAAUUCCAAGUUUAUUAACUUUAGCACUUCCUUGGAAUUGUGUGCAUGGAAGUAUAUGAUAUAUAACCAUAAUGCGCAACAGAACAAAAAAAAUAGUGGUAAAUGAAAAAUUCCGUUAAUACAAAGUAUAGACAUACCUUCCUCUUUACCAAUUGGAUUGAUAAAAUAUUAUAUCUUCCUCUUCAAGGUGCAACCAGUAAUAUUUGGUCGGAUCCUUCCCUCGGAGAGUUUCUAUUGUAUGCUUGGCGAAGACAACUGCUCAAAAUUAUGCAGUUGAUUUCCUUGUGAUUUCCGUCCCAGAACAGGGUGCGCACAAGUAUUAAGAGAGCCAAGAAACACCAACCUUCCUUGUUACGAUCCGAUCCUUAUAGACAAAUAAUGUAGGUCUGGACUUCAGCAUGUACAUGUGUAUGCUAAGAAUAAAUUCCUUGCUUUCCUUAUGUAAGAUAGACGAGCAGGACAUGUAGUACUGUAUGAACAACAGGAACAGACAAAGCUUCCUCGAUCUGAGUAGUAGAUCACGCGAGCAUUCUUUUUCUUUCCUCCAUCGUGGAGUACUAGUAGUAGCAAACCAGCAAUUGAUCUGAUGGCUUGGUCUUGACGUACAUGUCUUUCUCGGGACUUGGACCUUGCUUCCUCGGAUGGAUUUCACACGACCGCUAGUUUGACUGGAUUUCCUGGCCUGUAGCAAGUGCGUCAAUCGAUCCAUGCGCAAACCUCAUGCGAAGGACCUACCUUUCCUCGAUCGCGGGUGCAUCAGCGAUUCUCCACGAUGACGCACAAGUAUCACCGCAGCAAUUAAGCACCAGCGCGGCACGCUACCUAUCCCGUGAUGAGAUUGCAACGGUGUCCGUGAUGGCGUGUCGAAGCAGAUCGAUAACAAAUUCAGACCGAGACGAGUUGACAGCAGAAUCGGCGAUGACGACUGGUAGAGUUUUGUACGCAGCGGAUUAGGGUAAAGAUGAUCGCAACCACGCUACGGCAGAGUUCACGGUAGUAGAUUAGACAACGGCGGCAACCGCCUGACCUAGCUCGAGAUACCAAUGUUGAAAAUUGUGGGCUAUGCGGUCUACCCUUUAAUUCCUUUGCCUUUUUCGUGGUGCCGCUCACAAUGCAUAUUGAGGUUAAAGGAUAAGGACCUAUUUAUAGACUCCAUUUUCAGGCGUUUUAUUAUUCCACUUGUUUCCGGAAAGAUCCGUACAACUCCUAGGCAAUGUUACCAACCACGAUAAAACAUGCCGGUUUUCCGAGUCUAAAUAUAUUAGUCACUAGCACACAUGUGUGAGUCAUGUGCAUGAUUAGAUUGUAUAUGUGAGAUCAACUUCCAAUCUUAAGCAUGUGGGUCAACAGCCUGCAGAGACGAUCCUGCAAAACAAACCCAGCUCUUCCACCCUGUGAUGUCCCGGGAAAAUACAUACGUACAUAUAAAUUCCAGUAGAGUCGAUCCCUAUUAAUUCCUCUAUUGUAUUCCAUCACAGUCGUCCUCGGCACCUCGAGUUUUACUUCCUCGAGUGAAAUUCCGCAUCAGUUAUUCCCCGUCACAAAUAUUAAUAAUAUGAAUAAUUCCAAGUUGAUUUAAAUAAAUAAUAGUCAUGUUGAAUAAAUGUUGAAAGCCACAUAAUUAUCCAACAGCCCAUAUAUAUAAUGCUGGGGUUGCCCCUUCUAGCGCAUCUAGUAGAUCCGUGAAAACUAUAUCUUGCUUACAGCGAGAGUAUCUACCGUCUCGCCACGCUGCGCUCGCUUUGUUCCAUGUGUUCGCUUCCCUACUUCGCUUUGUCUUAUUUUUUUCGUGUUCUUUUUUUUCAUUCGGGUUUCUCUAUUUCUUCAAUAGUUUCCUUCACUUUUCUGUUUUCACUUUGUUUUUCCCUGAUUUUAUUGUUUUUCACUGGUUUUCACUUUCUCCCCUUUUCUUUGGGUUUCUUUGUUUCUUUCUUGUUUGUUUUGUUUACCUUUUUUCUCUUCCCUCGGGGUUUUCCCAUUUUCUUCGAUUCCUUAUCUUUUUACACCGGGUUUUCUCCGGUUUGUUGUCUCCUUUUUCCCUUUGGUUUUCUUUUGUUUCUUUAAUGCUUUUUCUUUGCUAUACUUCGGUUUCCUCUGGUUUUAUCUUAGUUUGUUUUCACUUCUUUUAUGUUUCUUUUCUCUUUUCAUCAUUUUCCUAUUUCUUCAACACAUAUAUAACAUUUUAGUGUACAUUGUACAUUUUUGGUGUAUACAUGAAGCAUUUUCUUGAUACAUGUUUGGCAUUUAUCAAAUACCCGAUGUACAUUUUUCUUAAAAAACAUGCUAUGUACACCUUUUUCGAUACAUGUUCAAUGGUUUUUUGAAUAGAUGCUGAGCAUUAUUUAUUGUAAGAGACAUUAUUAAACUGCAUGAGCAUUUUUAAAUACAUGAUUAAUAUGUUCUUCAACAAAUUUUUUUCAUCAUAUUUUUUAUACACAUUUCUACAUUUUUUUACACCAGAAACAUUUUUACCUACGCAUUUAACAUUUUUUUAAUACGUGAUUACUAUUUUUUACAACAUAUAUUUUAUGAUGUUUACGUUUUCUAUGCAUACUGUACAUUUUGUAUACACGAGGAACAUUUUUUAUAUACAUGUUUGAUAUUUUUGAAAUACAUAAUUACUCUUUUCAAACAUAUAUUUUUUCAUGUCUACUUUUUCCAUAAACAUUGUAUAUUUUGUAUACAUCAGGAAACAUUAUAUAUAUAUAUACACGUUUAACAUUUUCUAAAUAUUAUAAACAUUUUUAAAACAUAUAUUUUUACGUAUACCAUUUGCAUACACAUCCUAUAUUUUUUGCUAUACAUCAGGAAUAUUUUUUACCUUUAGCACUGUCCAAACAUAUGAUUACCAUUUUUAAAUACAUUGUACAUUUUUUGUAUACAUCAGAAACAUGUUUUCUAUAUAACUUUAACGUUCCUAUAUUGCAUGAUUAAUAUUUUUAAAAAUAUUUAAAAUUUAAAUUUGUUUUGAUUUCUUCUUUUUUGCAAACACAUUGUACAAUUUGCCUAUAAUUUUUUUUUGUAUACAUCAGUAAUAUUUUUAAAACACAUUUAUCAUUACAUAAAUGCAUGAUUAAAAAUUUUCAACCUUUGCAUAUAAAGUGAUUUUAUAAUAGCUAUAUCAAGAAUAAUUCUAAAAACAAGCAAAAUUAAAAAAAACACAACCAAAAAACAUUAUUUUAAAGCAAGAAGUAGAGCGUUGAAGGCCUGUGUCCGUUCUGGGCCGGCCCAAUCAGGCGGCUGCCUUCAGCGAGAUGUCCUUCUGUCUAACUGUCUAGCUUGAGUCACCUCAAAAAAAAAAGUCUAGCUCGAGAUUCUAAAAAAAAAAGCUUUCAAGCUUGAAGCGAGACAUGGGCGCGCCCUUGAGCGCCCCUAUAUCUCGCCUUCAGCGAGACGGGAGGAACCCCUCGCUGUGGCUCGAGUUGUGCCGGCCAGAUGCGAUGUAAGAACAGCCUCGUUUUUUGCUUUUAAUCUUUGUUUAUACAUUCAAAUAUUCUAAAUAAAUAUAUUUAAAAUUACUAUACAUAAACCAUUUGAAAAAUGUUGACAAAGCAUUUUAACAAUAUUAAAUAUGUAUAGAGGAAAUGUUUCUCACGUAUAUGAAAAAUGUAUGCAAAAAAUUUUGUGUGCAACAAUUUGAUCAUGUAUUUAAAAAAUAUUAAUUAAAAAUUUGAAAAAUCUUGAACAAGUAUUUGAAAAAUGUAUUUCAAGCAUUUAGAAAAUGUUAAAUGUGUAUAGAAAAAAUGUCGACCAUGUAUUAAAAAUAUGAUGAGAAAAUUUUGAUCAUGCAUAUAAAAAUAUUAAUCAAGCAUUUGAAAAAUGUUGAACAAGUAUUUGAAUAAAGGGCCAUCUUACGAGUUAUUCUCGUGCUAGAAAUAUUGUGGAAAGAACUUUUGACUUAUGAAAGAAAAAAUGGGCCAUCUUACGAGUUCAAUAUUUUUUUUUGACAUGAAGGACCAGGUAAGAAAUGUCCAUAUGGAGUUAAAUAACAUAUGUGUCAUAUGACAUGCUAAUUUUAAAUAUAAAUCCUUGCAGAUUCGAAUUAUUAAUGCAUGUUGUGUGUACACAACUUUGCAAGAGAUAGACAACAUAUGAUGGAUGAUUUAUUGCUGCAAGAAGUUGAUGCUGCUCUAGCAAAUUUGGAACAUGAGCAUGUGUACAUCAGGUGACUUGAUACAUGUUCAAGUCACUAAUGAAUGGACCAACUCUAGGCAACAAUUAUCAGAAGACAUGUAUGCUGAAUACCUUCUCAGGCAUGCUGAGCUGGAGAUGGUGUAGUUAGUUGAUGGUGGAGUAGUUCGUGGAUGGUGGACUCAUUUUGUGUAGUGCUAGGUGGUGAUCGUGUCAUUUUGUGUAGUACCUAGGUGAUGAUGGUUGCUUGCUGAUUGUCUUUUGUGAUAGCUUAGCUAACGGUUGCUUGCUGAUUGUCUUUUGUGAUAGCUUAGCUGACGGUGAUGGUGCCUUGUGUGGUCUUCUGUACAUGCAUCAUCUUGAUAUUAAUAUAUAUAAUAGCUUUUCUUGAAAUUUGCAUUCUCGUGCACCAUUUAUUUGAUCCAACAUAAUCUUUUUCAUUUAUGUGAUGACUUGGGAGUGGACUAGGAUUAGGAAACCUAAUUCUAUUACUCUUUAUGACUUUAAAGGGAAGAAUAUAAAGUCAAAUGGUGUAAACUUUAACCAAAUUUAUCAAAAAACUACCAACAGUUAUAAUACCAAAUUGACAUCAUGAAAUGUGUAGUAAAAUAUAUUUUUCAUAUUAUACUUACAAAAUUUGUAGUUAUUGAUAAAUGUUCCUAGAAACUUUUUCAAAUUUUGCACCGUUUAACUUAAGACCAAAUUUAUAUACUAUCGUUCUAGAUUCGGGGGAGUAGGGCUUAUCCCUACUUAUAAUCAUAUAUUCUCACACGAACUCUAGUAAUAAGCAUUUAAGUCUCAUGCUCUUCUUAGAGCAUCUACAAUCGAGCAUUCUAAACCCCCUCACACGCCUUGGCGGACGGUCUAGUCAGUAAUCGGUCAAAAAACUCCGACCCAGACGGGCGCCUCAAACGGACCUCAAACGCUCAGGAUGACCGGCAACUCCUAUAUCCAUCCCAAAUAUGGGGCAGAUAUGGAGAGGCCCCGGCGCGUCCACUACGUCAGACUGACGACAGGGUUCCACACGGAAUCGCCCGGGAACCCAAUAGUUCAAUGAGCGUCGAUGUCCGCAAGUAUAGGGGAUCAAUCAUAGUCCUUUCGAUAAGUAAGAAUGUCGAACCCAAUGAAGAGCAGAAGAAAAUGAUAAGCGGUUUUCAGUAAGGUAUUCUCUGCAAGUACUGAAAGUAGCGGUAACAUAUAGUUUUGUAGUAGGAUAAUUCGUAACAAGUAGCAAUAGUAACAAAAGCAGCAAGGUGGCUCAAUCCUUUUUAUAGCAAAGGACAAGCCGGAAAGUUCUCUUAUAUAACGCAAAGUGUUCUCAAGGACACACGAAAAUUCUCGUCUAGUCACGUUCAUCAUGUUUAGUUAAUUCACGCUCGCUACUUUGAUAAUUUAAUAUGUGGGUGGGCCGGUGCUAGGGUGUUGUUCUUACUUGAACAAGAAACCCUCUUAUGAUUACUUCCUCUUGCAAGCAUCCACAACUACGAAAAAAGAAUUAAGAUAAUCUAAUCAUAGCACGAAACAUAUGGAUUCAAAAGCCCCUUACAAAAUAACGCGUAAAUUUGGGUUUACGCUUCUGUCACUCUCGCAACCCAUCAUCUACUUAUUACUCUCCAAUGCCUUCCCUUAUGCCCAAGUAUGUGAAGAGUCAUGUAGUCGAUGUUCACAUGACACCACUAAAGGAAGAAUAACAUACAUAUCAUCAAAAUAUCGAACGAAUACCAACUUCACAUGAUUACACAUAACAAGACUUCUCACAUGUCCACAAGAACAAAAUUAACUACUCACAAAUCAUAUUCAUGUUCAAGAUCAGAAGUGUAUUGAAUAUGCUUAAGGAUCUGAACAUAUAAUCUUCCACCAGAUAAACCAACUAGCAUCAACUAUGAGAUGUAAUCAACACUACUAGCAACCCAUAUGUACCAAUCUAAAUUUUUGGGACAAAGAUUGAAUAGAAGAGAUGAACUAGGGUUUGAGAUGACAUGGUGCUGGUGAAGAUGUUGAUGAAGAUUGGUCCUCCCAGGAUGAGAGGAUCGUUGGUGAUGUCGAUGUCUUCGAUUUUCCCCUCUCGGAGGGAAGUAUCCCCGACUGAAUCGUUGCGCCGGAGAGCAAAAGUGCUCCUACCUAGGUUUGGCCUCGAGACGGAGGCGCUUCGUCUUGAAAGUCUUCUCUUAUUUUUUUCUAGGGCAAGAGGCCUCAUAUAGCAGAAGAUGGGAACCAGAAGCCAGCUGUGGGCCCCACAAGGCAUCAGGGCACGCCCCGUUGCCUUGUGGGCAACAGGUGGCCCCCUCUAGUAUUUCUUCAUUCCAAUAUUUUUUUUAUAUUCAAUAAAAAAUCUCCGUGAAGUUUUAGAUCAAUUGGAGCUCCGUAAAUAGCCAUCUCUGCUAUAGCUCUUUUAGGUCCAGAAUUUCAGCUGCCGGUAAUUUCCCUUUCCAUGUUAAUCUUGCAAAUUAAGAGAGAAAAUGCAUUAGAAUUGCAUCAUAAAGUGAAAUAAUAACAAUAAACAUUAUAAAUAACAGUAGGAAAACAUAAUGCAAAAUGGACGUAUCAGGCGUCUCCUCCAGUGGAGGUGUGAUGCCGCAUGGCGCCGCUUCGGCUCGCCACCGAAGGAAAAAGUCUGGCUAUUUAAGCUGGCCGGCAUCCCCAACCCUAGUCACAACCUUUCCUCCCUCUCCGCGAUGCCAACCCGAGCUCUUUCUCUCCGUCUCCACCUCAAUCCCCCCUCACCGUGAGUCAUGGCUCGGUAGAAGAAGAUCACCUACACUAUGCUAACGCCGGAGUGCCGCUUCUAGAUUGAGGAGGAGAUCCGGGUGAGGCACGCCGCCCGCAUCGUAGCUGGCCUGCCUCCAGACUCGUCGGAGCCGAAGGAGGAGGUGUGCUACCUCUUGAGCACUUGCGUUGGUUUUCCCUUGAAGAGGAAAGGGUGGUGCAGCAAAGUAGCAUAAGUAUUUCCCUUAGUUUUUGAGAACCAAGGUAUCAAUCCAGUAGGAGGCCACGCACGAGUCCCUCAUACCUGCACAAACAAAUAAACCCUCGCAACCAACACGAUAAGGGGUUGUCAAUCUCUACACGGUCACUUACGAGAGUGAGAUCUGAUAGAUGUGAUAAGAUAAUAUUUUUGGUAUUUUUAUGAUAAAGAUGCAAAGUAAAAUAAAAGGCAAUAAAAAUAACUAAGUAUUGGAAGAUUAAUAUGAUGGAAGAUAGACCCGGGGGCCAUAAGUUUCACUAGUGGCUUCUCUCGAGAGCAUAAGUAUUCACGGCGGGUAAACAAAUUACUAUUGAGCAAUUGACAAAAUUGAGCAUAAUUAUGAGAAUAUCUAGGUAUGGUCAUGUAUAUAGGCAUCACGUCCGAGACAAGUAGACCGACUCCUGCCUGCAUCUACUACUAUUACUCCACACAUCGACCGCUAUCUAGCAUGCAUCUAGAGUAUUAAGUUCAAGAGAACAGAGUAACGCUUUAAGCAAGAUGACAUGAUGUAGAGGGAUAAACUCAUGCAAUAUGAAAUAAACCCCAUCUUGUUAUCCUCGAUGGCAACAAUACAAUACUUGCCUUGCUGCCCCUACUGUCACUGGGAAAGGACACCGCAAGAUUGAACCCAAAGCUAAGCACUUCUCCCAUUGAAAGAAAGAUCAAUCUAGUAGGCCAAACCAAACUGAUAAUUCGAAGGGACUUGCAAAGAUAACCAAUCAUACAUAAAAGAAUUCAGAGAAGAUUCAAAUAUUGUUCAUAGAUAAACUUGAUCAUAAACCCACAAUUCAUCGGUCUCAACAAACACACCGCAAAAGAAGAUUACAUCAAAUAGAUCUCCACAAGAGAGGGGGAGAACUUUGUAUUGAGAUCCAAAAAGAGAGAAGAAGCCAUCUAGCUAAUAACUAUGGACCCGUAGGUCUGAGGUAAACUACUCACACUUCAUCGGAAGGGCUAUGGGGUUGAUGUAGAAGCCCUCCGUGAUCGAUGCCCCCUCCGGCGGAGCUCCAGAACAGACCCCAAGGUGGGAUCUCAUGGAUACAGAAAGUUACGGCGGUGGAAUUAGGGUUUUGGCUCUGUAACUGGUAGUUUGGGGUAUGUAGGUAUAUAUAGGAGGAAGGAGUACGUCGAUGGAGCAAUAGGGGGCCCACGAGGGUGGAGGGCGCGCCCAGGGGGUAGGCGCGCCCCCUACCUCGUGUCCUCCUGGUUGAUGUCUUGACGUAGGGUCCAAGUCCUCUGGAUCAUGUUCGUUCCAAAAAUCACGUUCCCGAAGGUUUCAUUUCGUUUGGACUCCAUUUGAUAUUCUUUUUCUGCGAAACCUUAAAAUAGGCAAAAAAACAACAAUUCUGGGCUGGGCCUUCAGUUAAUAGGUUAGUCCCAAAAAUAAUAUAGAAGUGUAUAAUAAAGCCCAAUAAUGUCCAAAACAUAAUAUAAUAUAGCAUGGAACAAUAAAAAAUUAUAGAUACAUUGGAGACAUAUCAAGGUGGAGGAGGAGCUGAAGGAGGAGGAGGAGCUGGAGCCUGAUACGUCUCCAACGUAUCUAUAAUUUUUGUUUGUUCCAUGCUGUUAUAUUAUCAAUCUUGGAUGUUUUAUAAUCAUUUUAUAUCAUUUUUUGGUACUAACCUAUUGAUAUAGUGCCAAGUGCCCGUUGCCGUUUUUUACAUCGCAGAAAAUCAAUACCAAACGGAGUCCAAAUGCCACGAAACUUUAUGGAGUUUUUCAAUGGACCAGAAGACACCUAAUGGGCCCUCGCUGCGCCUGGGGGUGCUCUGAGGAGAGCACAACCCACCAGGACAUGCCAGGAGGCCCAGGCGCGCCCUGGUGGGUUGUGCCCACCUCGGGUGCCCCCCCGGACCGCCUCUUUACUCUAUAAAUACCCCAAUAUUCCCCAAACCCUAGGGGAGUAGACGAAAUAUUGAUCCAGCUGCCGCAGAGUCCAGAACCACCAGAUCCAAUCCAGACACCAUCUGCGAUGGGGUUCAUGAUACGUCUCCAAUGUAUCUAUAAUUUUUUAUUGUUCCAUGCUAUUAUAUUAUCUGUUUUUGAUGUUUAAUGGGCUUUAAUAUGCACUUCUAUAUUAUUUUUGGGACUAACCUAUUAAUCAAAGGCCCAAUGCAAAUUGCUCUUUUUUGCCUAUUUCAGUGUUUCGCAGAAAAGGAAUAUCAAAUGGAAUCCAAACGGAACGAAACCUUCGCGAGGAUCUUUCUUGGAACAACCGUCACCCAGGAGACUUGGAGUACAAGUCUGGAAGUCUGCGAAGCUUCCACGAGGCAGGGGGUGCGCCCAAGGGGGAUAGGCGCCCCCACCCUCAUGGACCCCACGGAGCUCCACCGACCUACUUCUUUCGCCUAUAUAUACUCUUAUACCCUGAAAACAUCCAGGGGAGCCACGAAACCACUUUUCCACCGCUGCAACCUUCUGUACCCAUGAGAUUCCAUCUUGGGGCCUUCUCCGACGAUCUACCGGAGGGGGAUUCGAUCACGGAGGGCUUCUACAUCAACACCAUAGCCUCUCCGAUGAUGUGUGAGUAGUUUACCAUAGACCUUUGGGUCCAUAGUUAUUAGCUAGAUGGCCUUUUCCCUCUCUUUGGUUCUCAAUACAAAGUUCUCCUCGAUGUUCUUGGAGAUUUAUUCGAUGUAAUACUUUUUGCGAUGUGUUUGCCGAGAUCCGAUGAAUUGUGGGUUUAUGAUCAAGAUUAUCUAUGAACAAUAUUUGAUCCUUCUAUGAAUUCUUAUAUGCAUGAUUUGAUAUCUUUGCAAGUCUCCUCGAAUUAUUGGUUUAGUUUGGCCUACUAGAUUGAUCCUUCUUGCAAUGGAGAAGUGCUUAGCUUUGGGUAGGGGUGGAAAGUGGUAGCGGAUAAUCCGAAAUAUCCGAUAUUCGUAUUCGAGAAAAUGCCUAUUCGUAUCCGAAACAUCCGCAUCCAAACCAAAAUGGAAAUGGAAAUUGUCCGUAUCCGAAUUUAUUAAACAAAUACAAAAUAAAAUAUGGUAGGAGAUUUUGACACAAAUAUGGAUAUGGAAGUGGAUAUAUCCAUAUCCGAAUAAGAUUAUGGGAGGUAUUUUUUAAAAUUCUAGGCCCAAUAUUCCAAUUAUCCAAAAUAAAAGCCAAAUAAGUGGUCAAAUUUUACUCUUUAUAUGAUUAAACUUAUAAAUUAUUAUGCAUUACAAUAGUAUUUAUUCAUAAACCUAUUUAUCCUUGACUUAUUGUAUGUCACAAGUUGAUUAUUUUAGGUUACAUAGCUAUCGACUAAUUUACUUAAGCAACAUGUUGAUAUAAUUCGUAUCCGUUCCGAAUCAAGAAAAUAUCCGAUACGUAUUCGUAUUCGAAUAAUAUCCUAGCCGCAUCCGUAUUCGAGAACAUCCGUAUUCGGAUUCGUAUUCAUUUUGAAAAUAUGAAAAUGGAAGUGGUAAGAGCACUAUCCGAUCCGCAUCUGAUCCGUUUCCACCCCUAGCUUUGGGUGCAAUCUUGCGUUGCUCGAUCCCAGUGACAGAUAGGGAACCGACACAUAUUGUAUUGUUGCCAUAGAGGAUAAAAAGAUGGGGUUUAUAUCAUAUUGCUUGAGUUUAUCCCUCUACAUAAUGUCAUCUUGCCUAAUGCGUUACUCUGUUCUUAUGAACUUAAUACUCUAGAUGCAUGCUGGAUAGCGGUCGAUGUGUAGAGUAAUAGUAGUAGAUGCAGAAUCGUUUCGGUCUACUUGACAUGGACGUGAUGCCUAUGUUCAUGAUCAUGCCUAGAUAUUCUGAUAACUAUGCGCUUUUCUAUCAAUUGCACGGCAGUAAUUUGUUUACCCACCGUAAUAUAUGCUAUCUUGAGAGAAGUCACUAGUGAAACCUAUGGCCCCCGGGUCUACUUUACAUUAUAUAAGUUUUCGAUCUAUAAUUCUAGUUUACUAUUUAUUUUGCAAUCUUUACUUUACAAUCUAUACAACAAAAAUACCAAAAAUAUUUAUCUUAUUAUCUUUAUCAGAUCUCACUUUUGCAAGUGGCCGUGAAGGGAUUGACAACCCCUUUAUCGCGUUGGUUGCAAGGUUCUUGAUUGUUUGUGCAGGUACUAGGUGACUUGCGUGUAGUCUCCUACUGGAUUGAUACCUUGGUUCUCAAAAACCGAGGGAUAUAAUUAUGCUACUUUGCUGCAUCACCCUUUCCUCUUCAAGGGAAAACCAAUGCAUGCUCAAGUGAGGAUAAUACUUAUGCUACUUUGCUGCAUCACCCUUUCCUCUUCAACGUAGCAACGGUGCAUACUCAGGGAGAAUACUUGUACCUUGAAAUUUAGUGAGGGAUCAUCUUAUAAUGCUACCGCCGUACUAAGCAAAAUAAGAUGCAUAAAGGAUAAACAUCACAUGCAAUCAAAAUAUGUGACAUGAUAUGGCCAUCAUCAUCUUGUGCUUUUGAUCUCCAUCUCCAAAGCACCGUCAUGAUCUUCAUCGUCACCGGCUUGACACCUUGAUCUCCAUCGUAGCAUCGUUGUCGUCUCACCAACUAUUGCUUCUACGACUAUCGCUACCGCUUAGUGAUAAAGUAAAGAAAUUACAUGGCAAUUGCAUUUCAUACAAUAAAGCGACAACCAUAAGGCUCUUGCCAGUUGCCGAUAACUUUUACAAAACAUGAUCAUCUCAUACAACAAUUUAUAUCUCAUCACGUCUUGACCAUAUCACAUCACAACAUGGCCUGAAAAAACAAGUUAGACGUCCUCUAUAUUGUUGUUACAAGUUUUACGUGGCUUCUAGGGGCUUCUAGCAAGAACCAUUCUUACCUACGCAUCAAAAACCACAAUCAUUUUUUGUCAAGUGUGCUAUUUUAACCUUCAACAAGGACCGGCCGUAGUCAAACUCAAUUCAAUUAAAGUUGGAGAAACAGACACCCGCUAGCCACCUGUGUGCGAAGCACGUCGGUAGAACCAGUCUCAUGAACGCGGUCAUGUAAUGUCGGUCUGGGCCGCUUCAUCCAACAAUAUCGCCGAAUCAAAGUAAGACGUUGGUGGUAAGCAGUAUGGCCAUUAUUGCCCACAACUCUUUGUGUUCUACUCGUGCAUAUAACAUCUACGCAUAGACCUGGCUCGGAUGCCACUGUCAGAGAACAUAGUAAUUCAAAAAAUUUCCUAUGAUCAUGCAAGAUCUAACACUACAGGAAUUAGGCACUUUGCCGUCUUCCAUGGCGGACGGCAAAGGCAUGCCUGGUGGACGGCAAGGGCCUUUGCCGUCCGUCAGCAGAUGGCAACAUGUCCGGCUGAAUAGGCUACGGCGAAGGGAUCUUCGCCGUCUGCUGGCCGACGACAAAGAUGAAAUGGUCUUUGCCGUCCGCCGGCGGAUGGCAAAGGUCCUGGACGACACACAUGGCAGCUUAUAGCCAUUAUGGGGUUAACGGUGCGCUUUGUCAUCCGCUGGCCGAUGGCAAAGACCAUUGCAACUUUGCCGUCUGCCAGCAGACGGCAAAGUAACCAAAUAGGCCACCCCCCAGGUUGCACAAGUAGCUGCCACGUGGCAGCUUUGCCGUCUGCUGGCCGACGGCAAAGCUCUUUGCCGUCUGCCAGCGGACGACAAAGAGCCUAUAUAGCCCAUGUUUUUCUUAAAUUCAUUCAAUUUCAACACACAAGUUUGAACACACAAAUUUCACAGCAGACAUAUCCAACACAGAAGUUUCAUCAUAUAUACAUACAUAACCAACACAUAGUUCCAUCCAUACAUAUUACAAUAAUAGUUUCACAUUGUUCAUCCAACACCUAUCCAUCCAUUCAUAUAACAAGUUCCACAUUGUUCAUCGAUACAAAAUAAAAGCAGAAAGGGAAAAGAAGCGCUCCAUCCAUGCAAGCUUCCGUGAAGUAAAUGAAAUCUGCAAAAUGGGAAACAAUAAAUUUAGAAGAAGAAGACUAGAAGAAGAAGAAGAAGAAGAAGAAGAAAAUGAAGAAGAAGAAGACUAGAAGAAGAAGUAAGCAUACUUAGGUAAAAUGGAGCUAACCUAGCUAAUUAUGCCAUUUUUGAGUGAACUAAGCAUAUUAUGCCAUUUUUUCUAUAAAUCAGCUAAGUAUAGGUAUUUAUUGAGCUAACCUAGGUAACUAAGCACAUUAGAGCUAACUUAGGUCAUUUUGGAGAAGAAGAAGAAGAAGAAGAAGAAGGUUUUUACCCUUUUCCUUCUCAUUCUUCUUCUUUUAUUCUUUCUUUUUCUUCUCUUUCUUCUUCUAUUCUUUCUUUUUCUCCACUUCCUUGUUUUUCUUCUUCUUAUUCCUUAUUAGUGUCAUUUUAGAGCUUACAUAGGCAAUUAUGCCAUUUUUAGCUAACUAAGCUUAUUAUGUCAAUUUGGAGGAAAAUAAGGUAAGUAUAGGUCAUUUUUGUGCUAACAUAAGUAAUUAUGCCAUUUUUGAGCUAACAUAGGUAAAAUGGAUCAUUUUGGAGCUAACCUAGCUAAAAGGGAUCAUAUUGGAGCUAACCUAGGUAAACUUGGUCAUUUUGGAGCUAACCUAGGUAAAAUGGAUCAUAUUGGAGCUAACCUAGGUUAAAUGUGUCAUUUUGGAGCUAACUUAACUAAUACUGCCAUUUUUGAGUUAACUAAGCAUAAAUAUGCCAUUUCUUUACAAAAGUAAGCCAAGUGUAUGUCAUUAUUGAGCAAACCUAAGUAACUAAGCAUAUUAGAGAUAACUUAGCAUAUUAGAGCUAACUUAGGUCAUUUCGGAGGAAACAAAGCUAAGUAUAGAUCAUUUUGGAGAUCUGACAUACCUGACAUAGUUCACUCCUCCUUCUUCUCCUUGUCCUUCAUCAUCCUGAUGCGCCUAGAGCGGCGAGGCAGUGGAGGCAGUGGGAUGCAGUCUUCUACCACAAUUGGCAUGGUCAUGUCGCCCGGCUGUGGGAUCGCCCGCGCCACCACUAUCGCAAGGUCAUUGUUAGGCACCACCACCAUCGCGAGGCCAUCUUCAGGCAGCACCAUCGCUAGGUCAUCCUCAGCCACCAUCAUCUAUUGCCCAUCGUCAGCCACCACCAUCGCUAGGUCAUCCUCAGCAACCACCAUAUCUUGCCCAUCGUCAGCCAACACCUCCUCAUCCCCACUUUUCCCCUCUUCUUCCCCACUCCAUUCUGGAUCAUCCUCGCUGCUGCUUUUGCUGCAGCCAGAGUCGCUGCUGCUUUGGCUGUAGCCAGAGUCACUGCUGCUGCUCCCAUUGCCUGACCAAAUGCAACAAUGACUGUUAACAAUCGAUGUGAGACAAAGCUAAAUGUAGAGGAAGAAGAGGCAGAACGUACUGGUAUCAUCGUCGUCCUGGUAGCGCAUGCGACACAUAGUCGUGUUGAACACCUUCACGGUGAGCAUGGCAUCGCCAUCGUACCUAAAGAGAAGGAAGUACCCGUGCCGCAGGUCGUAGGCACGAUAGAACUGCUCCCAGCCACGACACAUGUACAUGUGGCCGUACCUAAUCACCACAUCCACGUCCCAAUGCCUGCGAAGCCCACUGCCAGCCUGUCGCGGCUUCACAUUGUUUGGCUGAUGGUCGUCCAGCAUCUUCAUAAAAGUGUCAGGCAGCCUCUACAGUUUGGAACAAGGAGUAAUGUAGCAAACAACAGAGUUAUCAUAAUGAGAUGGGUGAAUGGUAGAUCUCUCCCUUUAUAUACCUGCCUCCUGGAGGAAUUCCCAAGUAUGAUACUGAAGAACUCGAAAGCAUCCAACUCGUACUCCGGUGUGGCAGAGCGGAGCAUGCGGUGGUGGCCUCCCCCCAUCUUUGAUAAGCAACAAAAGAGACCAAUUACUUUAGACAUGAAAGAAAACUGAAAAUGUUGAAAAAAGAGCAUAGUAACUAAGCAGUUCCUUGUGGUGUGCUAGUGAGAAAGCGUCCUCUUGUUUAGAUUAAGAUUAUGCUUUCAUGCCUAUGCUAGUGAGAAAGACACGCUAGAUUAUGCUCUCAACAGGUUCAUGCUUAAUUAUUUCAAUAUUUUAAAAAAUGCUUUAUUAUGUGUUGUUUAUGUAGGGUGCAGAAUUAUCGUAAUCAAAUGCAAAGCUAAGUGAGAACAAAAUUUGUAUAUAUAAAUGUGGUGACACAAAGGAAAUUAUCACGAAGUUGUACCACACUACAUAAUAAUUGAGAUAAAGCAGCAAGGAAUGACCCGUGGGGGGAAAGAAUAGUAGUACUCGAAAAAACUGCUAAUAUUGUUAGAAUUCGAUUUAGCUCCCUCUAAAGACAAAGAAAAACAAGUUUGCAUAUUUUCCAAGUCUGUUUUGUAAAAAACAGGGAAAACAUCAAAGCAAAUGAUGACAACAACCAUUCCUUGGACACUGGAAACACCAGAAUUACACUUAUUCACUAUGCAUAAUAUUGCAGUAGAGUAGCAGAAGAACCCUGACAAAAAAUUGCAGAACAAGUACAACACCACUAUAAGUAGCAAAUCAUGCACCAUGAUUGACUGAACAUUCAGUACAAACCUAAACUAAAUUUUGGAUGAGCUAUGAUAAUCAAUUCUUGCAGUGCAAUAUAAGGCUAUAUGCUCUAAACCUAAACUAAAGUUAACCUAACCUAAACCAAACCUAAAGUAAACCUAAACUAAACUUAAAAUACAGAAACAAAAACAAAAAAAUACAAGAGGUCUCACCGGAGGGGCGGGGCGGCCACGGUGGUGGAGGAGAGGGGCGCCGGGGCGGCCGGGUGGAGGAGAGGGCGCCAGAGCGGUGGGGCGGCUGCGGUGGUGCAGAAGAGGGGCACCGAGGCGGCCGGGUGGAGGAGGGGGUGCCGGAGCAGCGGGGCGGCCGUGGUGGUGGAGGAGAGGGGUGCCAGGGCCGCNNNNNNNNNNNNNNNNNNNNNNNNNNNNNNNNNNNNNNNNNNNNNNNNNNNNNNNNNNNNNNNNNNNNNNNNNNNNNNNNNNNNNNNNNNNNNNNNNNNNNNNNNNNNNNNNNNNNNNNNNNNNNNNNNNNNNNNNNNNNNNNNNNNNNNNNNNNNNNNNNNNNNNNNNNNNNNNNNNNNNNNNNNNNNNNNNNNNNNNNNNNNNNNNNNNNNNNNNNNNNNNNNNNNNNNNNNNNNNNNNNNNNNNNNNNNNNNNNNNNNNNNNNNNNNNNNNNNNNNNNNNNNNNNNNNNNNNNNNNNNNNNNNNNNNNNNNNNNNNNNNNNNNNNNNNNNNNNNNNNNNNNNNNNNNNNNNNNNNNNNNNNNNNNNNNNNNNNNNNNNNNNNNNNNNNNNNNNNNNNNNNNNNNNNNNNNNNNNNNNNNNNNNNNNNNNNNNNNNNNNNNNNNNNNNNNNNNNNNNNNNNNNNNNNNNNNNNNNNNNNNNNNNNNNNNNNNNNNNNNNNNNNNNNNNNNNNNNNNNNNNNNNNNNNNNNNNNNNNNNNNNNNNNNNNNNNNNNNNNNNNNNNNNNNNNNNNNNNNNNNNNNNNNNNNNNNNNNNNNNNNNNNNNNNNNNNNNNNNGAGAGAGAGAGAGAGAGAGAGAGAGAGAGGACAAAGAGAUGGGAUGCGGGCAGGCAUCGUUGGAUUUUAGUUAGGGCACGGUUCUUUGCCGUCUGCUAGCGGGCGGCAAAGAGCCUAGCUAACAGGCGUUAGUUUGGUCACUUUCUUUGCCGUCUGCUAGCGGACGACAAAGAAAGUGUCCGUUAGGUCGUUGGAUUUUAGUUAGGGCAUGGUUCUUUGCCAUCCGCUAGCCGACGUCAAAGAUGCUAUGCCGUCAGCUAGCAGACGGCAAAAAGUGGGAUGACAGUAAACAUGUCUUUGUCGUCAGCUUCUUUCAAGCUGAGGGCAAAGACCUUCUUUGCCGCCAGUUAGCGGACGGAAAAGAUCUGGCUGAAGGUAAAGAUCCUGAUUCCAGUAGUGUAACUAGGAGAUUGAUACAUCCCCAACGUAUCUAUAAUUUAUAAAGUAUUCAUGUUGUUAUUUUAUCAUUCUUGGAUGUUUAACAAUCAUUUUAUAGCAACUUUAUAUCAUUUUUGGGACUAACCUAUUGACCCAGUGCCCAGUGCCAGUUGCUGUUUUUGCUUGUUUUUUACAUCGCAAAAAAUCAAUAUCAAACAAAGUCCAAACACCACGAAACUUUUUGGAGAAUUUUUAUGGACCAGAACACUCAGAAUGGGCCAGAGCAGCACCUGGGGGGGUGCCCCGAGGGGGGCAAAACCCACCAGGGCGCGCCUGGGGGCCCAGGCGCGGCUAGGUGGGUUGUGCCCACCUCGAUGGCCUCCCGCACCCCCUCUUUACCCUAUAAAUUUCCCAAAAUUCGGAAAACCCUCGAGGUUAACCUAGAUCAGAAGUUCCGCCGCCGCAAGGCUUCGUAGCCACCGAAAACCAAUCUAGACCCGUUCCGGCACCCUGCUGGAGGGGGGAAUCAUCUCCGGUGGCCAUCUUCAUCAUCCCGGCGGCCACCACGAUGAGGAGGGAGUAGUCCACCCUCGGGGCUGAGGGUUUGUACCAGUAGCUAUAUGUUUAAUAUCUCUCUCUCUCUCUCACUCUCAUGAUCUAUAUCAUGGGCUUUGUUAAUAUAGUCGGAUCAUAUGAUGUUUCUCCCCUCUAUACCCUUGUUAUGAUGAAUUGAAUCUUUACCCUUUGAAGUUUUGUCUUGUCGGAUUGAAUGUUUAGAUAUGAGAACACAUGAUGUAUGUCUUGCGGUAUGAAUACUUGAGGUGACACUGGGGUAUCAUAUUGAUUCACUUGAUGUAUGUUAUGGCACUCAACUUGCGGAUUCCCGAGGUGACAUUGGGGUAAUUUAUGCAUAGGGGUUGAUGCACAUUUUUAUUAUCUUUUCUCCGAUAGAAACUUUGGGGUCUCCUUGUAGUUCUUUGUGUUGGAUUGAGUAUUAUGAAUAUGAAUUUGCUUUGGUGUUAUUUUAGUACGAACUGUAGGAUAGAUCGAACGAAAAGAAUAGCUUUGUGUUAUUUUAGUACAAACUCUUGAAUAGAUCGAACGGAAAGAAUAGCUUUGAGGUGGUUUUGUACCCUACAAACAAUUUCUAUCUUUUGUUCUCCGCUAAUAGGAACUCGGGAGUGAUUCUUUAUUGCACUUUGAGGGAUAAUCAUAUGAUCCAACUAUGUUAGCACUGUUGAGAGAUUGCACUAGUGAAAGUACGGACCCUAGGCCUUGUUUUCAAGCAUUGCAAAAUACCAUUUUUGUGCCCGUUUACUAUUUGCUACCUUGCUGUUUUUAUUUAUUCAGAUUAUAAAAAAUAUAUUUCUACCAUCCGUAUUACACUUUUAUCACCAUCUCUUCACCGAACUAGUGCACCUAUACAAUUUGCCAUUGUAUUAGGUAUGUUGGGGACACAAGAGAUUUCUUGUAUUUGGUUGCAGGGUUGUUUGAGAGAGACCAUCUUCAUCCUACGCGUCCCACAAAUUGAUAAACCUUAGGUCAUCCACUUGAGGGAAAAUUGCUGCUGUCUUACGAAACUCUGUGCUUGGAGGCCCAACACGAGUCUACAAGAAUAAAGUUGCGUAGUAGACAUAAGAGAUGCAUAGCAUCGAGAGGGGAGAGUGUGUCCAUGUACCCUCGUAGACCGAAAGCGGAAGUGUUUAGUAACACGGUUGAUGUAGUUGAACGUCUUCACGAUCAAACCGAUCCAAGUACCGAACGUACGACACCUCCGUGUUUAGCACACAUUUAGCACGAUGACGUCCCUCAAGCUCUUGAUACAGUAGAGGGUCGAGGGAGAGUUCCGUCAGCACGACGGCGUGGCCAUGAUGAUGAUGAAGUUACCGGCGUAGGGCUCCGCCUAAGCACUAUGACCAUAUGACCGAGGUGUUAAACUGUGGAGGGGGCACCGCACACGGCUAAGAGAUUGCCCGUUGUGCUUUGGGGUGCCCCCUGCCCACGUAUAUAAAGGAGGGGGGAGGAGGAGGCCGGCCAAGGGGGAAGCGCGCCAAGGGGGGGGAGUCCUACUAGGACUCCAAACCUAGUAGGAUUCGGCCCCCUUUCCUUCCAACGGAGAGGGGAAAGGGGAAAGGAGGGAGAGGGAGAAGGAAAGAGGGGGCCGCGUCCCCUCCCCUUGUCCAAUUUGGAUUGGGGCAAGGGGGGCACGCCCCACCUCCCGUGGCAUGCCUCCUCUCUUCCACUAUGGCCCAUUUGGCCCAAUAACUUUCUCGGGGGGUUCCGGUAACCUCCUGGUAAUCCGAAAAAAAUCCCCGAACCUUAUCGGAACCAUUCCGGUGUCCGUAUAUAACCUUCCAAUAUAUCAAUCUUUACCUCUCGACCAUUUUGAGACUCCUCGUCAUGUCCGUGAUCUCAUCCGGGACUCCGAACAAACUUCGGUCAUCAAAUCACAUAACUCAUAAUACAGAUCGUCAUCGAACGUUAAGCAUGUGGACCCUACGGGUUCGAGAACUAUGUAGACAUGACCGAGACACAUCUCCGGUCAAUAACCAAUAGCGGAACCUGGAUGCUCAUAUUGGCUCCUACAUAUUCUACGAAGAUCUUUAUUGGUCAAACCGCAUAACAACAUACGUCAUUCCCUUUGUCAUCGGUAUGUUACUUGCCCGAGAUUCGAUCAUCGAUAUCAUCAUACCUAGUUCAAUCUCGUUACCGGCAAGUCUCUUUACUCGUUUCGUAAUGCAUCAUCCCAUAACUAACUCAUUAGUCACAUUGCUUGUAAGGCUUAUAGUGAUGUGCAUUACCGAGAGGGCCCAGAGAUACCUCUCCGAUACUCGGAGUGACAAAUCCUAAUCUCGAUUCUGUGCCAACUCAACAAACACCAUCGGAGACACCUGUAGAGCAUCUUUAUAAUCACCCAGUUACGUUGUGAUGUUUGAUAGCACACAAAGUGUUCCUCCGGUAUUCGGGAGUUGCAUAAUCUCAUAGUCAGAGGAAUAUGUAUAAGUCAUGAAGAAAGCAAUAGCAAUAAAACUAAACGAUCAUAAUGCUAAGCUAGUGGAUGGGUCUUGUCCAUCACAUCAUUCUCUAAUGAUGUGAUCCCGUUCAUCAAAUGACAACACAUGUCCAUGGUUAGGAAACUUAACCAUCUUUGAUUAACGAGCUAGUCAAGUAGAGGUAUACUAGGGACACUCUGCCUGUCUAUGUAUUCACACAUGUACUAAGUUUCCGGUUAAUACAAUUCUAGCAUGAAUAAUAAACAUUUAUCAUGAUAUAAGGAAAUAUAAAUAACAACUUUAUUAUUGCCUCUAGGGCAUAUUUCCUUCAAUUGGGCCCAUUUAUAGGGCAACCCAAUAGGCAAUUUUCGAAAUCUCAAAGGCCCAUGUGUGUGAGCAAGUGGUGGGAAUGGGAAGUUUAGUCCCACCCCGGAAGUUGAAGGAGUUGCACACCACAUUAUAAGGUGGAGUGUUGUAGCACUUGUAAGUGAGUGAGAAUAAGAGGGCCUCUCACGCACUCCUGCUCCUCCACCACCAAUCGCUCGUCUCAUCUCGACUCGACUCGACACGUCGCGAUCGCAUUUCGUGAAUUCCAGCCUCGAGCCCAGACAAAUUAUGUAUUUAUUUUUGCUGCUUAGGAAAACUAAAUCUGGAGUCGUGACGGACGCGUCACAGCAUAGUCGGUUCGGGUCGCUCCCGCAAUCGACUCGGACGUGCGAUGUGGGCCUCCCACAUUGCACCUAUUAGGGUUUUCCAAACCGCUAUAUAAGAACACGUUGUGGGCGCCGCAACACACAGGAAACCAAUCUAGGGUUUGCCACACCUCGUUCCUUGUGCCGCCGCCGUAGUCCACCCCAUCCCGAGCGCCGGCGUGAACCGGCGAACGGGAGAGUAGGUCUCCGGAAUGACUCGCCUUUGUGAUCUUGUACAGGAGAGGGCGAAUAAGGUUUUUGGGAAGCGCCACAGGCGCUACUGCUCACUGUCUCUAUCACGGCUCGCCUACCGUCCAGGUCGUGCGAUCUUGCUCGUCGUCGUAUACAAUGUCGUCUUCUGCGACCGGUCUUCACCAAUGUCGUCAUCAACAACAUCGCUGCACCAACGGCUACCUCAUCUACAAAUGAUCGGUAUAACUACAGUGUCCCAUCUUGUUGGUUAAACAUGUUUGCCAGUAUCAUGUUUUGCGAUGUUGUGCUACUACUGUUCAUGUUGUUUAGUGCUUCUAGUAUGCUUGAGAUUCACAUGUUAGUAGCGGUUUUCAUCAUGUUUAAUAUUCUGGAAUUAAUCAUGGAAAUUAUGCCUAAUUACUUAACAUAGUCUAGGAAGGAGCACGUGAAAAGGAGAAGGCCUUGCCUUCGUCACGAUGAGCGGCAGCGCCCACCAUGACUGUUCGGAUCGCUAGAUGGCGGCUGAGCCAGUUGAGUAGGCGUCACCAGGCGCACUGUCGUCAAAGAUGGUCACUGCGCUUCUGUCCUACAUCUACGCCGCCAUGCCUUUCCCUGCACCUGCGAGUAGGAGCCAGCAGGAUGACAAGAAGGAUCUAGUUUGUGGACUCCCGGUGCCUUCGGUUUGACAAGGAGGAUCUAGGUUCUGAUACGUUUAUUUGUUGCAAACUAAAGAUGAAGCUUUAGACUACGUCAAAAUCUAUAAGGCUGAAGUUGAAAAUCAAUUAGAGAGAAAGAUCAAAUGUCUUAGGUCGGAUCGUGGUGGGGAGUAUUUUCCCAAAAUAUUUGAUGAAUUCUGUGAGGAACAUGGUAUUAUUCACGAGAGGACGCCUCCUUAAUCGGCCCAAUCAAAUGGGGUCGCUAAGAGGAAAAACCGCACGCUGUCCGAUUUGGUGAAUGCCAUGUUGAACACUGUUGGUUUAUCUAAGACAUGGUAGGGGGAGGCUUUGUUGACUUCGUGUCAUGUCCUGAAUAGAAUUCCAAACAAGAAUAAAGAAAAAACCCGUUAUGAGGAGUGGGUUGGGAGAAAACCAUCAUUUUCGUAUUUGCGCACUUGGGGAUGUUUGGCUAAGGUCAAUGUUCCAAUUCCGAAGAAACGCAAACUGGGACCAAAGACAGUAGAUUGUAUCUUUCUAGGCUAUGCUCAGUGCAGCGUUGGUUAUAGAUUUUUAGUGGUUAAAUCCGAGGUACCCGAUAUGCAUCUUGAUAGUAUUAUGGAGUCUCGUGACGCAAUAUUUUUUGAGAAUAUGUUUCCUAUGAAAGAUAUGCAUAGCACUGCUAGAAUAUCUUCUGAGAUAAUUCCUAAACCUAGUACAUCAAGUGAUUAUUCUGAAGAACCACAUGAACAACCACAUGACAUAGUCCUUGAGAAGGAUGAAAAUGAAGCUCCUAAACGGAGUAAGAGAUGGAGGAUUGAAAAAUCCUUUGGUAAUGAUUUCAUUGUGUACCUUGUGGACAAUACUCCUACGACCAUUGUAGAGGCAUUUGCAUCUCCUGAUGCGGAUGAUUGGAAAGAAUCUGUAAAAAAUGAGAUGGAAUCGAUUCUUUCAAAUGGAACGUGGGAAUUAUCUGAGAGACCAUAUGGUUGUAAGCCAGUUGGCUGUAAGUGGGUGUUUAAGAAGAAACUAAGGCCCGAUGGUACUAUUGAGAAGUACAAGGCACGACUUGCAGCCAAAGGCUACACCCAACGAGAAGGCAAGAUUAUUUUGACACCUGCACCUGUUGCUAGAAUGACCACCACUCGUGUACUACUUUCCCUGGCUGCCUCCUAUUGUCUUAUCAUUCAUCAAAUGGACGUGAAGACAAAUUUCCUUAGUGGAGAGUUGGAAGAGGAAAUCUAUAUGGAUCAACCUGAUGGUUUCGUGGUAAAAGGUGAAGAGACAAAGGUGUGCAAAUUGUCAAAAUCUUUGUAUGGGCUGAAACAGGCACCUAAGCAAUGGCAUGGGAAGUUUGACAGAACUCUGACUUCUGCAGGCUUUGUCAUAAAUGAGGCUGAUAGGUGAGUGUACUAUUGCCAUGGUGGGGGCAAUAGUGUUAUUUUGUUCUUGCAUGUUGACGACAUACUGAUUUUUCGGUACAAGCAUGAUUGUGAAAAAUGAGGUCAAGUCUUUUCUAUCAAAAUGUUUUGAUACGAAAGAUCUGGGAGAAGCUGAUGUGAUUCUGAACAUUAAGCUUAUUAAGGAUGAGAGUGGGAUUACUGUUGGGGAACGUUGUAGAAAACAAAAAUUUCCUACGGUUUCACCAAGAUCCAUCUAGGAGUUCAUCUAGCAAUGAGUGAUUGGAUUGCAUCUACAUACCUUUGUAGAUCACGCGCGGAAGCGUUCAAAGAACGGGGAUGAGGAAGGCGUACUCGACGUGAUCCAAAUCACCGGAGAUCCUAGCGCCGAACGGACGGCACCUCCGCGUUCAACACACGUACGGUCAGCGUGACAUCUCCUUCUUCUUGAUCCAGCAAGGGGGAAGGAGAGGUUGAGGAAGAUUGCUCCAGCAGUAGCACGACGGCGUGGUGGUGAUGGAGCUGCAAUACUCUGGCAGGGCUUCGCCAAGCACUAUGGAGGAGGAGGAGGUGUUGGAGAGGGAGAGGGAGGCACCAAAGGCAAGGGGGUGAGAGGUCCUCCCUUCCCCGCACUAUAUAUAGGGGGCCUAGGGGGGGGGGGCGCCGGCCCUAGGAGAUGCAAUCUCCUAGGGGGCGGCGGCCAAGGGAGGAAUCCCUCCUCCCCAAGGCACCUAGGAGGUGCCUUCCCCUCCUAGGACUCUUCCUUUAGGGUUUCCCCCACCCUAGGCGCAUGGGCCCUAGGGGGAAGUGGCGCCCCAGCCCACUUUGGGCUGGAUCCCUUCCCACUUCAGCCCAUGGGGCCCUCCGGGAUAGGUGGCCCCACCCGGUGGACCCCCGGGACCCUUCCGGUGGUCCCGGUACAAUACCGGUGACCCCGAAACUUGUCCCGAUGGCCGAAAUAGCACUUCCUAUAUAUAAUUCUUUACCUCCAGACCAUUCCGGAACUCCUCGUGACGUCUGGGAUCUCAUCCGGGACUCCGAACAACAUUCGGGUUACUGCAUAUACAUAUCCCUACAACCCUAGCGUCACCGAACCUUAAGUGUGUAGACCCUACCGGUUCGGGAGACAUGUAGACAUGACCGAGAUCGCUCUCCGGUCAAUAACCAACAGCGGGAUCUGGAUACCCAUGUUGUCUCCCACAUGCUCCUCGAUGAUCUCAUCGGAUGAACCACGAUGUCGAGGAUUCAAGCAACCCCGUAUACAAUUCCCUUUGUCAAUCCGUAUGUUACUUGCCCGAGAUCUGAUCGCCGGUAUCCCAAUACCUCGUUCAAUCUCAUUACCGGCAAGUCACUUUACUCGUACCGUAAUGCAUGAUCCUGUGACCAGACACUUGGUCACAUUGAGCUCAUAAUGAUGAUGCAUUACCGAGUGGGCCCAGUGAUACCUCUCCGUCAUACGGAGUGACAAAUCCCAGUCUUGAUCCGUGUCAACCCAACAGACACUUUUGGAGAUACCUGUAGUAUACCUUUAUAGUCACCCAGUUACGUUGUGACGUUUGGUAUACCCAAAGCACUCCUACAGUAUCCGGGAGUUACACGAUCUCAUGGUCUAAGGAAAGGAUACUUGACAUUGGAAAACUCUAGCAAAUGAACUAUACGAUCUUGUGCUAUGUUUAGGAUUGGGUCUUGUCCAUCACAUCAUUCUCCUAAUGAUGUGAUCUCGUUAUCAUUGACAUCCAAUGUCCAUAGUCAGGAAACCAUGACUAUCCGUUGAUCAACGAGCUAGUCAACUAGAGGCUUACUAGGGACAUGUUGGUGUCUAUUAUUAACACAUGUAUUACGAUUUCCGGAUAAUACAAUUAUAGCAUGAAUAAAGACAAUUAUCAUGAACAAGGAAAUAUAAUAAUAAUGAUUUUAUUAUUGCCUCUAGGGCAUAUUUCCAACAGUCUCCCACUUGCACUAGAGUCAAUAAUCUAGUUACAUUGUGAUGAAUCGAACACCCAUGGAAUUCUGGUGUUGAUCAUGUUUUGCUCUAGGGAGAGGUUUAGUCAACGGAUCUGCUACAUUCAGGUCCGUAUGUACUUUACAAAUAUCUAUGUCUCCAUCUUGAACAUUUUCACGAAUGGAGUUGAAGCGACGCUUGAUGUGCCUUGUCUUCUUGUGAAACCUGGGCUCCUUGGCAAGUGCAAUAGCUCCAGUGUUGUCACAUAAGAGCUUGAUCGGCCCCGAUGCAUUGGGUAUGACUCCUAGGUCGGUGAUGAACUCCUUCACCCAAAUUGCUUCAUGCGCUGCCUCCGAGGCUGCCAUGUACUCCGCUUCACAUGUAGAUCCCGCCAUGAUGCUUUGCUUGCAACUGCACCAGCUUACUGCCCCACCAUUCAAAAUAUACACGUAUCCGGUUUGUGACUUAGAGUCAUCCAGAUCUGUGUCGAAGCUAGCGUCGACGUAACCCUUUACGACGAGCUCUUCAUCACCUCCAUAAACGAGAAACAUUUCCUUAGUCCUUUUCAGGUACUUCAGGAUAUUCUUGACCGCUGUCCAGUGUUCCUUGCCGGGAUUACUUUGGUACCUUCCUACCAAACUUACGGCAAGGUUUACAUCAGGUCUGGUACACAGCAUGGCAUACAUAAUAGAACCUAUGGCCGAGGCAUAGGGGAUGACACUCAUCUCUUCUAUAUCUUCUGCCGUGGUCGGACAUUGAGCUGAGCUCAAUUUCACACCUUGCAACACAGGCAAGAACCCCUUCUUAGACUGGUCCAUAUUGAACUUCUUCAAUAUCUUAUCAAGGUAUGUGCUUUGUGAAAGACCUAUGAGGCGUCUUGAUCUAUCUCUAUAGAUCUUGAUGCCUAAUAUAUAUGCAGCUUCUCCAAGGUCCUUCAUUGAAAAACUCUUAUUCAAGUAGGCCUUAAUGCUGUCCAAGAGUUCUAUAUCAUUUCCCAUCAAAAGUAUGCCAUCUACAUAUAAUAUGAGAAAUGCUACAGAGCUCCCACUCACUUUCUUGUAAACGCAGGCUUCUCCAUAAGUCUCUGUAAACCCAAACGCUUUGAUCAUCUCAUCAAAGCGAAUGUUCCAACUCUGAGAUGCUUGCACCAGCCCAUAAAUCGAGCGUUGGAGCUUGCACACCUUGUCAGCAUUCUUAGGAUCGACAAAACCUUCCGGCUGCAUCAUAUACAACUCUUCCUUAAGGAAACCAUUAAGGAAUGCCGUUUUGACGUCCAUUUGCCAUAUCUCAUAAUCGUAGAAUGCGGCAAUUGCUAACAUGAUUCGGACGGACUUUAGCUUCGCUACCAGUGAGAAAGUCUCAUCGUAGUCAACCCCUUGAACUUGUCGAUAACCCUUAGCGACAAGCCGAGCUUUAUAGAUGGUCACAUUACCAUCCGCGUCUAUCUUCUUCUUAAAGAUCCAUUUAUUUUCUAUGGCUCACCGCUCAACGGGCAAGUCAGUCAAAGUCCAUACUUCGUUUUCAUACAUGGAUCCUAUCUCGGAUUUCAUGGCUUCUAGCCAUUUGUCGGAAUCCGGGCCCGCCAUCGGUUCUUCAUAGUUUGAAGGUUCACCGUUGUCUAACAACAUGAUUUCCAAGACAGGGUUGCCGUACCACUCUGGUGCGGAACGUGUCCUUCUGGACCUUCGAAUUUCAGUAGGAGCUUGAUCAGAAGUAUCUUGAUCAUCAUCAUUAACUUCCUCUCUAGUCGGUGCAGGCACCCCAGGAACAUUUUCUUGAGUUGCGCCAUUUUUCGGUUCAAGAGGUAAUACUUCAUCAAGUUCUACUUUCCUCCCACUUACUUCUUUCGAGAGAAACUCCUUCUCUAGAAAGGAUCCAUUCUUGGCAACAAAGAUCUUGCCUUCGGAUCUGAGGUAGAAGGUAUACCCAAUAGUUUCUUUAGGGUAUCCUAUGAAGACGCAUUUUUCCGACUUGGGUUCGAGCUUUUCAGGUUGAAGUUUAUUGACAUAAGCAUCGCAUCCCCAAACUUUUAGAAACGACAGCUUAGGUUUCUUCCCAAACCAUAAUUCAUACGGUGUCGUCUCAACGGAUUUCGACGGAGCCCUAUUUAAAGUGAAUGCGGCAGUCUCUAAAGCAUACCCCCAAAAAGAUAGCGGUAAAUCGGCAAGAGACACCAUAGAUCGCACCAUAUCUAAUAGAGUGCGAUUACGACGUUUGGACACACCAUUACGUUGAGGUGUUCCAGGCGGCGUGAGUUGUGAAACUAUUCCACAUUUUCUUAAGUGUGUGUGCCAAACUCGUGACUCAAGUAUUCUCCUCCACGAUCUGAUCGCAGGAACUUGAUUUUCCUGUCACAUUGAUUUUCAACCUCACUCUGAAAUUCCUAGAACUUUUCAAAGGUUUCAGACUUGUGUUUCAUCAAGUAGACAUAUCCAUAUCUACUCAAAUCAUCAGUGAGGGUGAGAACAUAACGAUAGCCACCGCGAGCCUCAACACUCAUUGGACCGCACACAUCAGUAUGUAUGAUUUCCAAUAAGUUGGUUGCUCGCUCCAUUGUUCCUGAGAACGGAGUCUUGGUCAUUUUACCCCCGAGGCAUGGUUCGCACGUGUCAAAUGAUUCGUAAUCAAGAGACUCUAAAAGUCCAUCAGCAUGGAGCUUCUUCAUGCAUUUGACACCUAUGUGACCAAGGCGGAAGUGCCACAAGUAUGUGGGACUAUCAUUAUCAAUCUUACAUCUUUUGGUACUCACACUAUGAACAUGUGUAGCAUUACGCUCGAGAUUCAUUAGAAAUAAACCAUUCACCAUCGGAGCAUGACCAUAAAACAUAUCUCUCAUAUAAAUAGAACAACCAUUAUUCUCGGAUUUAAAUGAGUAGCCAUCUCGAAUUAAACGAGAUCCUGAUACAAUGUUCAUGCUCAAAGCUGGCACUAAAUAACAAUUAUUAAGGUUUAAAACUAAUCCCGAAAGUAAAUGUAGAGGUAGUGUGCCGACGGCGAUCACAUUGACCUUGGAACCAUUCCCGACGCGCAUCGUCACCUCGUCCUUUGCCAGUCUCCGCUUAUUCCGCAGCUCCUGUUUUGAGUUACAAAUGUGAGCAAUUGCACCGGUAUCAAAUACCCAGGAGCUACUACGAGUACUGGUAAGGUACACAUCGAUUACAUGUAUAUCACAUAUACCUUUCAUUUUGCCGGCCUUCUUGUCCGCUAAGUAUUUGGGGCAGUUCCGUUUCCAGUGACCACUUUCCUUGCAAUAAAAGCACUCAGUCUCGGGCUUGGGUCCAUUCUUUGGCUUCUUCCCAGCAGCUUGCUUGCCGGGCACGGCAACUCCCUUGCCGUCCUUCUUGAAAGCUUUCUUAACCUUGCCCUUCUUGAACUUAGUGGUUUUAUUCACCAUCAACACUUGAUGUUCCUUUUUGACUUCUACCUCUGCUGAUUUCAGCAUUGCAAAUACUUCAGGAAUGGUCUUUUCCAUCCCCUGCAUAUUGAAGUUCAUCACAAAGCUCUUGUAGCUUGGUGGAAGCGACUGAAGGAUUCUAUCAAUGACCGCGUCAUCCGGGAGAUUAACUCCCAGCUGAGUCAAGCGGUUAUGCAACCCAGACAUAGUGAGUAUGUGCUCACUGACAGAACUAUUUUCCUCCAUCUUAGAGCUGAAGAACUUGUCGGAGACUUGAUAUCUCUCGACCCGGGCAUGAGCUUGGAAAACCAUUUUCAGCUCCUCGAACAUAUCAUAUGCUCCGUGUCUCUCAAAACGCUUUUGGAGCCCCGACUCUAAGCUGUAAAGCAUGCCGCACUGAACGAGGGAGUAGUCAUCGGUACGUGCCUGCCAAGCAUUCAUAACGUCUUGUUCUGCAGGGAGAAUAGGUGCGUCACCCAGCGGUGCUUGUAGGACAUCAUCUUUCUUGGCAGCUAUGAGGAUGAUCCUCAGGUUCCGGACCCAGUCCGUGUAGUUGCUGCCAUCAUCUUUCAGCUUGGUUUUCUCUAGGAACGCGUUGAAGUUGAGGACUACGUUGGCCAUUUGAUCUACAAGACAUAUUGUAAAAUAUUUAGACUAAGUUCAUGAUAAUUAAGUUCAUCUAAUCAAAUUAUUCAAUGAACUCCCACUUAGAUAGACAUCCCUCCUGCAAUCUAAGUAUAACAUGAUCCGAGUUAACUAGGCCGUGUCCGAUCAUCACGUGAGACGGACUAGUCAACAUCGGUGAACAUCUUCAUGUUGAUCGUAUCUUCUAUACGACUCAUGCUCGACCUUUCGGUCUUAUGUGUUCCGAGGCCAUGUCUGUACAUGCUAGGCUCGUCAAGUCAACCUAAGUGUUUGCAUGUGUAAAUCUGUCUUACACCCAUUGUAUGUGAACGUUAGAAUCUAUCACACCCGAUCAUCACGUGGUGCUUCGAAACAAUGAACUGUCGCAAUGGUGCACAGUUAGGGGGAACACUUUCUUGAAAUUAUUAUGAGGGAUCAUCUUAUUUACUACCGUCAUUCUAAGUAAACAAGAUGCAAAAACAUGAUAAACAUCUCAUGCAAUCAAAUAAUAAUAGCGACAUGAUAUGGCCAAUAUCACAUAGCUCCUUUGAUCUCCAUCUUGGGGCUCCAUGAUCAUCUUGUCACUGUAGGGGAACGUAGCAUAAAUUCAAAAUUUUCCUACGUGUCACCAAGGUCUAUCUAUGGAGUCAUCUAGCAACGAGGGAGGAGUGGAUCUACAUACCCUUGUAGAUCGCGCGCGGAAGCGUUCAAGAGAACGGGGUUGAUGGAGUCGUACUCGUCGUGAUCCAAAUCACCAAUGAUCCUAGCGCCGAACGGACGGCACCUCCGCGUUCAACACACGUACGGAGCAGCGACGUCUCCUCCUUCUUGAUCCAGCAAGGGGGGAGGAGAGGUUGAUGGAGAUCCAACAGCACGACGGCGUGGUGGUGGAAGUAGCGGGAUUCCAACAGGGCUUCGCCAAGCACUGUGGGAGGAGGGAGAUGUGUCAUGGGAGGGAGAGGGAGGCGCCAGGGCUUGGGUAUGGUUGCCCUCCCUUCCCCCCACUAUAUAUAGGGCCAAGGGAGACGGGGGAGGCGCAGCCUUGUCCCUUCCUCCAAGGAAGGGUGCGGCCAGGGAGGAGUCCCUCCUCCCCAAGGCACCUCGGAGGUGCCUUCCCCCUUUAGGACUCUUCCUUUCUCUUGUCCCUUUGGCGCAUGGGCCUCUAGGGGCUGGUGCCCUUGGCCCAUGUAGGCCAAGGCGCACCCCCUACAGCCCAUGUGGCCCCCCGGGGCAGGUGGCCCCACCCGGUGGACCCCCGGGACCCUUCCGGUGGUCCUGGUACAAUACCGGUGACCCCGAAACUUGUCCCGAUGGCCGAAAUAGCACUUCCUAUAUAUAAUUCUUUACCUCCGGACCAUUCCGAAACUCCUCGUGACGUCCGGGAUCUCAUCCAGGACUCCUAACAACUUUCGGGUUACCACAUACUAAUAUCUCUAUAACCCUAGCGUCACCGAACCUUAAGUGUGUAGACCCUACGGGUUCGGGAGACAUGCAGACAUGACCGAGAUGACUCUCUGGUCAAUAACCAACAGCGGGAUCUGGAUACCCAUGUUGGCUCCCACAUGUUCCACGAUGAUCUCAUCGGAUGAACCACGAUGUCAAGGACUUAAUCAAUCCCGUAUACAAUUCCCUUUGUCUAGCAGUACGAUACUUGCCCGAGAUUCGAUCGUCGGUAUCCCGAUACCUUGUUCAAUCUCGUUACCGGCAAGUCUCUUUACUCGUUUCAUAACACAUCAUCCCAUGAUCAACUCCUUGAUCACAUUGUGCACAUUAUGAUGAUGUCCUACCGAGUGGGCCCAGAGAUACCUCUCCGUCACACGGAGUGACAAAUCCCAGUCUUGAUUCGUGCCAACCCAACAGACACUUUCGGAGAUACCUGUAGUGUACCUUUAUAGUCACCCAGUUACGUUGUGACGUUUGGCACACCCAAAGCACUCCUACGGUAUCCGGGAGUUGCACAAUCUCAUGGUCUAAGGAAAUGAUACUUGACAUUAGAAAAGCUUUAGCAUACGAACUACAUGAUCUUGUGCUAGGCUUAGGAUUGGGUCUUGUCCAUCACAUCAUUCUCCUAAUGAUGUGAUCCCGUUAUCAACGACAUCCAAUGUCCAUGGUCAGGAAACCGUAACCAUCUAUUGAUCAACGAGCUAGUCAACUAGAGGCUUACUAGGGACAUGGUGUUGUCUAUGUAUCCACACAUGUAUCUGAGUUUCCUAUCAAUACAGUUCUAGCAUGGAUAAUAAACGAUUAUCAUGAAUAAGGAAAUAUAAUAAUAACCAAUUUAUUAUUGCCUCUAGGGCAUACUUCCAACAGUCUCCCACUUGCACUAGAGUCAAUAAUCCAGUUCACAUCGCUAUGUGACUAACACUCAAGGUCACAUCCCCAUGUGACUAACAACCAAAGAGUUUACUAGAGUCAAUAAUCUAGUUCACAUCGAUAUGUGAUUAACACUCAAGGUCACAUCCCCAUGUGACUAACACCCAAAGAGUUUGCUAGAGUCAAUAAUCUAGUUCACAUUUCCAUGUGAUUAACACUCGAUGAGUUCUGGGUUUGAACAUGUUAUGCUUGUGAGAGAUGUUAUAGUCAACGGGUCUGAAUCUUCCAGAUCCGUAUGUACUUCGCAAAUUUCUAUGUCAUCUUGUAGAUGCAACUACUAUGCUACAUUUGGAGCUAUUCCAAAUAACUGUUCUACUUGGAGCUAUUCUAAAUUGUUGCUCCAUUAUACGUAUCCGGUAUCUCUACUCAGAGCUAUCCGGAUAGGUGUUAAGCUUGCAUCGACGUAACUCUUUACGUCGAACUCUUUUACCACCUCCAUAAUCGAGAAAAUUCCUUAGUCCCCCUAGUUACUAAGGAUAACUUUGACCGCUGUCCUGCGAUCCAUUCUUGGAUCACUCUUGUACCCCUUGACUGACUCAUGGCAAGGCACACUUCAGGUGCGGUACACAGCAUAGCAUGCUGUAGAGAGCCUAUGAUAAAAGCAUAGGGGACGACCUUCGUCCUUCCUCUUUCUUCUGCUGUGGUCGAGCUUUAAGUCUUAACUUCAUACCUUACAACUCAGGCAAGAACUCCUUCUUUGACUGAUCCAUCUUGAACACCUUCAAGAUCAUGUCAAGGUAUGUGCUCAUUUGAAAGUACCAUUAAGCGUUUUGAUCUAUUCUUAUAGAGCUUGAUGCUCAAUGUUCAAGUAGCUUAAUCCAGGCUUUCCAUUGAAAAACACUUUCCAAAUAACCCUAUAUGCUUUCCAAAAAUUCUACGUCAUUUCUGAUUAACAACAUGUCAACAACAUAUAUUCAUCAGAAAUUCUAUAGUGCUCCCACUCACUUCUUUGGAAAUACAAGUUUCUCAUAAACUUCGUAUAAACCCAAAAUCUUUGAUCAUCUCAUCAAAGCGUACAUUCCAACUCCGAGAUGCUUACUCCAGUCCCUAGAAGGAUUGCUGGAGCUUUGCAUACUUACUAACAUCUUUCAGGAUUAACAAAACCUUCUGGUUGUAUCAGAUACAACCUUUCCUCAAAAAUCAUCGAGGAAACAAUGGUUUUUGGCAUCCUAUCUGCAAGAUUUCACAAAUAAUGCAGUAAUUGCUAAUAUAAUUCCAACAGACUCUUAGCAUCGCUACGAGUGAGAAAGUCUCAUCGCAGUCAACUCCUUGAACUUGUCGGAAAACAUCUUAACGACAAGUCGAGCUUUCUUAAUGGUGACAUUUACCAUCAUUGUCCGUCUUCCUUUUAAAAAUCCAUCUGCAGUCAAUAGCCUUACGACCAUCGAGCUGUUCUGCCAAAGUCUACACUUUGUUUUCAUACAUGGAUCCUCUCUCGGAUUUUAUGGCCUCGAGCCAUUUAUCUAAAUCCGGGCCCACCAUCGCUUCUCCAUAGCUCGUAGGUUCAUUGUUGUCUAGCAACAUGACUUCCAAGACAGGAUUACGUACCACUCUGAAGUAGUACGCAUCCUUGUCAUCCCACGAGGUUUGGUAGUGACUUGAUAUGAAGUUUCAUGAUCACUAUCAUAAGCUUCCACUUCAAUUGGUGUAGGUGCCACAGGAACAACUCCCUGUGCCCUGUCACACACUAGUUGAAGAGACGGUUCAAUAACCUCAUCAAGUCUCCACCAUCCUCCCACUCAAUUCUUUCGAGAGAAACUUUUCCUCGAGAAAGGACCCGAUUCUAGAAACAAUCCCUUAUUGCUUUCGGAUCUGAGAUAGGAGGUAUACCCAACUGUUUUGGGUGUCCUAUGAAGAUGCAUUUAUCCGCUUUGGGUUCGAGCUUAUCAGCCUGAAACUUUUUCACAUAAGCGUCGCAGCCCCAAACUUCUAUGAAAUGACAGCUUAGGUUUCUCUAAACCAUAGUUCAUACGGUGUCAUCUCAUCGGAAUUACAUGGUGCCCUAUUUAAAGUGAAUGCGGUUGUCUUUAAUGCCUAACCCAUAAACUAUCGUGGUAAUUCGAUAAGAGACAUCAUGGUAUGCAUCAUAUCCAAUAGGGUGCAGUUAUGAUGUUCGGACACACCAUCACACUAUGGUGUUCCAGGCUGUAUUAGUUGUGAAACAAUUUCCACAAUGUCUUAAUUCUGUGCCAAACUCGUAAUUCAGAUAUUCAUCUCUAUGAUCAUAUCAUAGAUAUUUUAUCCUCUUGUCACGACGAUCUUUCAACUUCACCCUGAAAUUACUUGAACCUUCCAAUAAUUCAGACUCGUGAUUCAUCAAGUAAAUACACUCAACAUCUACUCAAAUCAUAUGUGAAGUAAUAACAUAACGAUAUCCACUACAUGCCUCAGCACUCAUUGGAUUGCACACAUCAAAAUGUAUUACUUCCAACAAGUUGCUUUCUAGUUCCAUUUUACUGAAAACGAGGCUUUCAGUCAUCUUGCCCAUGUGGUAUGAUUUGCAUGUAUCAAGUGAUUCAAAAUCAAGUGAGUCCAAAUGGUCCAUUUGCAUGGAGUUUCUUCAUGCAUAUACACCAAUAGACAUGGUUCGCAUGUCUCAAACCUUUCAAAAAUGAGUGAGUCCAAAGAUCCAUCAACAUGGAGCUUCUUCAUGCGUUUUAUACCGAUAUGACUUAAGUGGCAGUGCCACAAGUAGGUGGUACUAUCAUUACUAUCUUUUGGCAUGAACAUGUGUAUCACUACGAUCGAGAUUCAAUAAACCAUUCAUUUCAGGUGUAAGACCAUUGAAGGUAUUAUUCAAAUAAACAGAGUAACCAUUAUUCUCUUUAAAUGAAUAACCGUAUUGCGAUAGACAUAAUCCAAUCAUGUCUAUGCUCAACGCAAACACCAAUCUCGAUGGUAGAGGGAGCGUGCGAUGCUUGAUCAUAUCAACAUUGGAAACACUUCCAACACAUAUCGUCAGCUCACCUUUAGCUAGUCUCCGUUUAUUCCGUAGCUUUUAUUUCGAGUUACUAACACUUAGCAACCGAACCGGUAUCUAAUACCCUGGUGCUACUAGGAGUACUAGUAAAGUACACAUCAACACAAUGUAUAUCCAAUAUACUUCUAUCGACCUUGCCAGCCUUCUUAUCUACCAAGUAUCUAGGGUAAUUCUGCUCCAGUGGCUGUUCCCCUUAUUACAGAAGCACUUAGUCUCGGGUUUGGGUUCAACUUUGGGUUUCUUCACUAGAGCAGCAACCGAUUUGUCGUUUCAUGAAGCAUCCCUUUUUGCCCUUGCCCUUCUUGAAACUAGUGGUUUCACCAACCAUCAACAAUUGAUGCUCCUUCUUGAUUUCUACUUUUGUGGUGUCAAACACCGCGAAUAUCUCAAGGAUCAUCAUAUAUGUCCCCGAUACAUUAUAGUUCAUCAGGAAGCUCCAGCAGCUUGGUGGUAAUGACUUCGGAAAAACAUCACUAUCUCAUUUGGAAGAUCAACUCCCACUUGAUUCAAAUGAUUGUUGUACUUAGACAAUCUGAGCACAAGCUCAACAAUUGAGCUUUUUCCCUUAGUUUGCCGGCUAAGAAAAAUCGUCGGAGGUCUUAUACCUCUUGACGUGGGCACGAGCCUGAAAUCCCAAUUUCAGCCCUCGAAACAUCUCAUAUGUUUCACGACGUUUUAAAACGUCUUCGGUGCCUCAGCUCUAAACCGUUUAACUGAACUAUCACGUAGUUAUCAAAAUGUGUAUGUCAGAUGUUCGCAACAUCCACAGACGAUGUUCGAGGUUCAGCACACUGAGCGGUGCAUUAAGGACAUAAGCCUUCUAUGAAGCAAUGAGGACAAUCCUCAGUCUACGGACCUAGUCCGCAUAAUUGCUACUAUCAACUUUCAACUAAAUUUUCUCUAGGAACAUAUCUAAACAGUAGAACUGAAGCGCGAGCUACGACAUAAUUUGCGAAGACCUUUUGACUAUGUUCAGGAUAAUUAAGUUCAUCUUAUGAACUCCCACUCAGAUAGACAUCCCUCUAGUCAUCUAAGUGAUUACAUGAUCCGAGUCAACUAGGCCGUGUCCGAUCAUCACGUGAGACGGACUAGUCAUCAUCGGUGAACAUCUUCAUGUUGAUCGUAUCUACCAUACGACUCAUGCUCGACCUUUCGGUCUUCUGUGUUCCGAGGCCUUGUCUGUACACUUGCUAGGCUCGUCAAGUCAACCUAAGUGUUUCGCGUGUGUAAAUCUGUCUUACACCCGUUGUAUGUGAACAUUAGAAUCUAACACCCGAUCAUCACGUGGUGCUUCGAAACAACGAACUGUCGCAAUGGUGCACAGUUAGGGGGAACACUUUCUUGAAAUUAUUAUGAGGGAUCAUCUUAUUUACUACCGUCGUUCUAAGUAAACAAGAUGCAAAAACAUGAUAAACAUCACAUGCAAUCAAAUAGUGACAUGAUAUGGCCAAUAUCAUAUUGCUCCUUUUGAUCUCCAUCUUCGGGGCUCCAUGAUCAUUAUCGUCACCGGCAUGACACCAUGAUCUCCAUCAUCAUGAUCUCCAUCAUCGUGUCUUCAUGAAGUUGUCUCGCCAACUAUUACUUCUACUACUAUAGCUAACGGUUAGCAAUAAAGUAAAGUAAUUACAUGACGUUUAUGUUGACACGUAGGUCAUAAAUAAAUUAAGACAACUCCUAUGGCUCCUGCCGGUUGUCAUACUCAGCGACAUGCAAGUCGUCAUUCCUAUUACAAGAACAUGAUCAAUCUCAUACAUCGCAUAUAUCAUUCAUCACAUCCUUUUGGCCACAUCACAUCACAUAGCAUACCCUGCAAAAACAAGUUAGACGUCCUCUAAUUGUUGUUUGCAUGUUUUACGUGGCUGCUAUGGGUUUCUAGCAAGAACGUUUCUUACCUAUGCAAAAACCACAACGUGAUAUGCCAAUUGCUAUUUACCCUUCAUAAGGACCCUUUUCAUCGAAUCCGAUCCGACUAAAGUGGGAGAGACAGACACCCGCUAGCCACCUUAUGCAACUAGUGCAUGUCAGUCGGUGGAACCAGUCUCACGUAAGAGUACGUGUAAGGUCGGUCCGGGCCGCUUCAUCCCACGAUGCCGCCAAAUCAAGAUAAGACUAGUAACAGCAAGCAUAUUGAACAAAAUCAACGCCCACAACUACUUUGUGUUCUACUCGUGCAUAGAAACUACACAUAGACCUAGCUCAUGAUGCCACUGUUGGGGAACGUAGCAUAAAUUCAAAAUUUUCCUACGUGUCACCAAGAUCUAUCUAUGGAGUCAUCUAGCAACGAGGGAGGAGUGGAUCUACAUACCCUUGUAGAUCGCGCGCGGAAGCGUUCAAGAGAACGGGGUUGAUGGAGUCGUACUCGUCGUGAUCCAAAUCACCGAUGAUCCUAGCGCCGAACGGACGGCACCUCCGCGUUCAACACACGUACGGAGCAGCGAUGUCUCCUCCUUCUUGAUCCAGCAAGGGCGGAGGAGAGGUUGAUGGAGAUCCAACAGCACGACGGCGUGGUGGUGGAAGUAGCGGGAUUCUAACAGGGCUUCGCCAAGCGCUGUGGGAGGAGGGAGAUGUGUCAUGGGAGGGAGAGGGAGGCGCCAGGGCUUGGGUAUGGUUGCCCUCCCUUCCCCCCACUAUAUAUAGGGCCAAGGGAGAGGGGGGAGGCGCAGCCUUGGCCCUUCCUCCAAGGAAGGGUGCGGCCAGGGAGGAGUCCCUCCUCCCCAAGGCACCUCGGAGGUGCCUUCCCCCUUUAGGACUCUUCCUUUCUCUUGUCCCUUUGGCGCAUGGGCCUCUAGGGGCUGGUGCCCUUGGCCCAUGUAGGCCAAGGCGCACCCCCUACAGCCCAUGUGGCCCCCCGGGGCAGGUGGCCCCACCCGGUGGACCCCCGGGACCCUUCCGGUGGUCCCGGUACAAUACCGGUGACCCCGAAACUUGUCCCGAUGGCCGAAAUAGCACUUCCUAUAUAUAAUUCUUUACCUCCGGACCAUUCCGAAACUCCUCGUGACGUCCGGGAUCUCAUCCGGGACUUCGAACAACUUUCGGGUUACCGCAUACUAAUAUCUCUAUAACCCUAGCGUCACCGAACCUUAAGUGUGUAGACCCUACGGGUUCGGGAGACAUGCAGACAUGACCGAGAUGACUCUCCGGUCAAUAACCAACAGCGGGAUCUGGAUACCCAUGUUGGCUCCCACAUGUUCCAUGAUGAUCUCAUCGGAUGAACCACGAUGUCAAGGACUUAAUCAAUCCCGUAUACAAUUCCCUUUGUCUAGCGGUACGAUACUUGCCCGAGAUUCGAUCGUCGGUAUCCCGAUACCUUGUUCAAUCUCGUUACCGGCAAGUCUCUUUACUCGUUUCAUAACACAUCAUCCCAUGAUCAACUCCUUGAUCACAUUGUGCACAUUAUGAUGAUGUCCUACCGAGUGGGCCCAGAGAUACCUCUCCGUCACACGGAGUGACAAAUCCCAGUCUUGAUUCGUGCCAACCCAACAGACACUUUCGGAGAUACCUGUAGUGUACCUUUAUAGUCACCCAGUUACGUUGUGACGUUUGGCACACCCAAAGAACUCCUACGGUAUCCGGGAGUUGCACAAUCUCAUGGUCUAAGGAAAUGAUACUUGACAUUAGAAAAGCUUUAGCAUACGAACUACAUGAUCUUGUGCUAGGCUUAGGAUUGGGUCUUGUCCAUCACAUCAUUCUCCUAAUGAUGUGAUCCCGUUAUCAACGACAUCCAAUGUCCAUGGUCAGGAAACCGUAACCAUCUAUUGAUCAACGAGCUAGUCAACUAGAGGCUUACUAGGGACAUGGUGUUGUCUAUGUAUCCACACAUGUAUCUGAGUUUCCUAUCAAUACAGUUCUAGCAUGGAUAAUAAACGAUUAUCAUGAACAAGGAAAUAUAAUAAUAACCAAUUUAUUAUUGCCUCUAGGGCAUACUUCCAACAGUCACCGGCAUGACACCAUGAUCUCCAUCAUCAUGAUCUCCAUCAUCGUGUCUCCGUGAAGUUGCUCGCCAACUAUUACUUCUACUACUAUGGCUAACGCGUUUAGCAAUAAAGUAAAGUAAUUUACAUGGCGUUUCUCAAUGACACGCAGGUCAUACAAAAAAUAAAGACAACUCCUAUGGCUCCUGCCGGUUGUCAUACUCAUCGACAUGCAAGUCGUGAUUCCUAUUACAAUAGCAUGAACAUCUCAUACAUCACAUAUAUAUCAUUCAUCAUUCAUCACAACUUUGGCCAUAUCAUAUCGCAAAGCACUUGCUGCAAAAACAAGUUAGACGUCCUCUAAUUGUUGUUGCAAGUUUUACGUGGCUGAAAUAGGGUUCUAGCAAGAACGUUUUCUUACCUACGUGUAAGCCACAACGUGAUUUGUCAACUUCUAUUUACCCUUCAUAAGGACCCUUUUCGUCGAAUCUGCCCCAACUAAAGUGGGAGAGACAGACACCCGCCAGCCACCUUAUGCAACUAGUGCAUGUUAGUCGGUGGAACCGGUCUCACGUAAGCGUACGUGUAAGGUUGGUCCGGGCCGCUUCAUCCCACAAUACCAUUGAAGCAAGAUAAGACUAGUAGCGGCAAGAAAGUUGACAACAUCAACGCCCAUAACAAAUUGUGUUCUACUCGUGCAAGAGAACUACGCAUAGACCUAGCUCAUGAUGCCACUGUUGGGGAACGUUGUAGAAAACAAAAAUUUCCUACGGUUUCACCAAGAUCCAUCUAGGAGUUCAUCUAGCAACGAGUGAUUGGAUUGCAUCUACAUACCUUUGUAGAUCACGCGCGGAAGCGUUCAAAGAACGGGGAUGAGGAAGGCGUACUCGACGUGAUCCAAAUCACUGGAGAUCCUAGCGCCGAACGGACGGCACCUCCGUGUUCAACACACGUACGGUCAACGUGACGUCUCCUUCUUCUUGAUCCAGCAAGGGGGAAGGAGAGGUUGAGGAAGAUGGCUCCAGCAGCAGCACGACGGCGUGGUGGUGAUGGAGCUGCAGUACUCCGGCAGGGCUUCGCCAAGCACUAUGGAGGAGGAGGAGGUGUUGGAGAGGGAGAGGGAAGCACCAAAGUCAAGGGGGUGAGAGGUCCUCCCUUCCCCCCACUAUAUAUAGGGGGCCUAGGGGGGGCACCGGCCCUAGGAGAUGCAAUCUCCUAGGGGGGGCGGCGGCCAAGGGAGGAAUCCCUCCUCCUCAAGGCACCUAGGAGGUGCCUUCCCCUCCUAGGACUCUUCCUUUAGGGUUUCCCCCACCCUAGGCGCAUGGGCCCUAGGGGGAAGUGGCGCCCCAGCCCACUUUGGGCUGGAUCCCUCCCACUUCAGCCCAUGGGGCCCUCCGGGAUAGGUGGCCCCACCCGGUGGACCCCCGGGACCCUUCCGGUGGUCCCGGUACAAUACCGGUGACCCCGAAACUUGUCCCGAUGGCCGAAAUAGCACUUCCUAUAUAUAAUUCUUUACCUCCGGACCAUUCUGGAACUCCUCGUGACGUCCGCGAUCUCAUCUGGGACUCCGAACAACAUUCGGGUUACUGCAUAUACAUAUCCCUACAACCCUAGCGUCACCGAACCUUAAGUGUGUAGACCCUACGGGUUCGGGAGACAUGUAGACAUGACCGAGAUCGCUCUCCGGUCAAUAACCAACAGCGGGAUCUGGAUACCCAUGUUGGCUCCCACAUGCUCCUCGAUGAUCUCAUUGGAUGAGCCAUGAUGUCGAGGAUUCAAGCAACCCCGUAUACAAUUCCCUUUGUCAAUCGGUAUGUUACUUGCCCGAGAUCUGAUCGUCGGUAUCCCAAUACCUCGUUCAAUCUCAUUACCGGCAAGUCACUUUACUCGUACCGUAAUGCAUGAUCCCGUGACCAGACACUUGGUCACAUUGAGCUCAUAAUGAUGAUGCAUUACCGAGUGGGCCCAGUGAUACCUCUCCGUCAUACGGAGUGACAAAUCCUAGUCUUGAUCCGUGUCAACCCAACAGACACUUUCGGAGAUACCCGUAGUAUACCUUUAUAGUCACCCAGUUACGUUGUGACGUUUGGUAUACCCAAAGCACUCCUAUGGUAUCCGGGAGUUACACGAUCUCAUGGUCUAAGGAAAGGAUACUUGACAUUGGAAAACUCUAGCAAACGAACUAUACGAUCUUGUGCUAUGUUUAGGAUUGGGUCUUGUCCAUCACAUCAUUCUCCUAAUGAUAUGAUCUCGUUAUCAAUGACAUCCAAUGUCCAUAGUCAGGAAACCAUGACUAUCCAUUGAUCAACGAGCUAGUCAACUAGAGGCUUACUAGGGACAUGCUGGUGUCUAUUAUUCACACAUGUAUUACAAUUUCCGGAUAAUACAAUUAUAGCAUGAAUAAAGACAAUUAUCAUGAACAAGGAAAUAUAAUAAUAAUGAUUUUAUUAUUGCCUCUAGGGCAUAUUUCCAACAAUUACGCUAACGCAAUCACACUAUGUUGAGAAGGUCUUGAGCCGUUUUGGCUUUAAUGAUAGCAAGAGCAAGACUUCUCCAACACCUUAUGAUCCCAGCGUGACUCUAUGAAAGAACAAGAAAACAUCGAGAGAUCAAUUGAAAUACUCUCAAAUUGUUGGUUCACUCAUGUACCUUGCGAGUGCAACAAGGCCUGAUAUCUCUUUUGCUAUGGGCAAGUUGAGCAGGUUCAUGUCAAACCCGGGUAAUUAUCAUUGGCAUGCACUUGAAAGGGUCAUGCACUAUCUGAAUGGUACGGCGAGCUAUGGGAUUCACUAUUCAGGGCACCCUGCUGUGCUUGAAGGAUAUAGUGACUCGAACUGGAUAUCGGACGUCGAUGAACUCUACGCCACAAGUGGAUAUGCAUUUCUUCUUGGAGGUGGCGCAGUGUCAUGGAGGUCUUGCAAAUAGACCAUAUUGACGAGGUCAACCAUGGAAGCAGAACUUACUGCUUUAGAUACAACCACUGUUGAAGCAGAAUGGCUGCGUGAGCUCUUGAUGGACUUGCCGGUGGUUGAGAAACCUGUACCGGCCAUCCUCAUGAACUGUGACAAUCAAACCGUGAUUGCCAAAGUGAACAGUUCUAAGUAUAGUGCAAAGUCAUCAAGACAAGUUAAAAGACGAUUGAAGUCUGUCAGGAAAUUGAGAAACUCUGGAGUAAUUACUGUUACGUAUAUUCAAACAGACAAAAACCUGGCAGAUCCCUUUACGAAGGGACUAUCAUGUAAUGUGAUAGAAAAUGCAUCAAGGGAGAUGGGUAUGAGACCCGUGAGUGUCACACCAUAGUGGUAACCCAACCUAUGUGAUCGGAGAUCCCGUGAAUUAGGACAUGGGAAGAACAAGCUAGUGGUUUGACUAAGGAGAGUAUCUAGUAAGCCCUCUCUAAGUGGAGAUGCAUAACUCUCAAAGAGCUGCAAGGCAGGUUGGCAACAUGCCUUAAUGUGUUUAUAACGGCUAUUGAUAGCAAAGAUAUUGUCCUACAGAGCAUUCUUGAAAGAACACACCUAUAUGAGUCCGACUAUAAAUGUCGCAGUCUAUGAGAUUUGGGUGAUCUCUAGUAAACUCAUGAAGAGACCAGGGAGUACGACGUAUAUGCUCUACCCGCGGGGUAGACUACUGGCAGCUAGGUACUGGUUAUGACUUUGAGUAAAGUCCGUUGGCACAAAACUUGCAAUUCAAGGCAUAGUCCAUUGUUCAAGUUGCUAAUAGAUGUAGCUUAAGGCUCUAGGCGGAAGUUCAACUUAACAGUCUCUACUGAAACACUGGUAUAUAAACAAGUAGCAAGGAUUGGCAAAUCUUCAAAUGGGCAUUUGAGGUCUGGUGGGGGAUUGUUAGGAUAUUGGGCCCAUUUAUAGGGCAGCCCAAUAGGCAAUUUCUGAAAUCUCAAAGGCCCAUGUGUGUGAGCAAGUGGUAGGAGUGGGAAGUUUAGUCCCACCCCGGAAGUUGAAGGAGUUGCACACCAUCCUAUAAGGUGGAGUGAUGUAGCAUUUGUAAGUGAGUGAGAAUAAUAGAGCCUCUCGCGCACUCCUCCUCCUCCUCCUCCGCUCGCUCGACUCACACGCCGCGCCGCGCCGCGAUCGCGUUUCGUGAAUUCGAGCCUCGAGCCGAGACAAAUUCUGUCUUUUUUGGCUGCUUAGGAAAACCGAGUCUGGAGUCGUGACAGACGCGUCAUAGCCUAGUCGGUUCGGGUCGCUCCCGCAAUUGACUCGGACGUGCGAUGUGGGCCUCCCACGUUGCACCCGUCAGGGUUUUCCAAACCUCUAUAUAAGGACAUGCUGCGAGCGCCGCAACACACAGAAAACCAAUCUAGGUUUUGCCACACCUCGUUCCUUGCGCCGCCACCGUAGUCCACCCCAUCCCGAGCACCGGCGUGCACCGACGAACGGGAGAGUAGGUCUUCGGAACCACUCGCCUUUGUGAUCCUAUACGGGAGAGGGAAAAUAAGAUUGGACGCUAAUAAGUGCCACACGUGUGGGCGUUAGGGAGUCUGCCCAUACAUUUUGUGUGAUGCAUAAGAGGAACAGCCCACACACCUACGUGUGGGCAGAACAAGUAAUGCCCACACACCUCUUUUUUCUCUCUCGAUCCCUCUCACACGCAUGCGUGUGGGCGAAAUAGAUAACGCCCACACGCCCCGUACGUCAGGUCUCGUACUCGUGGUCCUGCACACCCGCGUGACAGUCAUGCGCAUCCCGCAGUUGCCAUGGUCCAGACCCUCGUCCAUGUUCGUUUAACUGUAGUUGCCAUGUCGCUGAACUUCGGUUGCCAUGUCGGACAACUACAGUUGCCAUGGUUGCUCAACUGCAGUUGCCAUGUAUGGUCUAGUCUACUGUAAUUGCCAUGAUUUCAAAACUUUAGGAGUUGCCACCCACUAACACUAGGCAGUUGCCGUGUAGCACUACGAAAAGAUACAGCAAAAAAACAUGUUCGGGUAAAAGAGAGAGUUGCCAUGUGCUCACGAGCACGCUAAGGCAGUUGCCAUGUAAAAAAAGAGAGUUGGCAUCUGCUUACGUGCACGCUAUGACAGUUGCCAUAUACCAUGCAAAAACACAUGGCAACUCGGGUAAAAGAAAGUUGCCAUCUGCUUACAAGCAAAGCUAGGGCAGUUGUCAUGUACCCUGCAGAAACACAUGACAACUGCCAGCUUUGGGUGUGGGCGAGGAGACGAACGUGUGGGCGAAGUGAUAAACGCCCACACACCAGCCCCCUGUGUGUGCGUAAAAGCUGAUGUGUGGGUGAAUUGUUAAACGCCCACACACCAGCCCCCCGUGUGGUGAAAAAGGCCAUGUGGGCGACCGGAUGAAUGCCCACACACCAGUUUAGUCCUACGUGGCACACAAAAACUGUUAGAACGCGCCAAGAUUCGUGCAGAAUUGGUUGGACGAGAAUCCAUGCGUGUGGGCGAGUUGCCAGACGCCCACACGUGUGGGCGUUAGUGUUUCGAUAAGAUUUUUGGGAAGCGCCACGCGCGCGACUGCUUGCUGUCUCCAUCACGGCUCGCCUACCGUUUAGGUCGAGCGAUCUUGCUCGUCGUCGUCUAUAACGUCGUCUUCUGUGGCCGGUCUUCACCAACGUCGUCAUCAACAACAUCGCUGCACCAACGACUACCUCAUCUGCAAACGAUCGGUAUAACUGCAGUGUCCCAUCUGGUUGGUUAAACAUGUUUGCCAGUAUCAUGUUUUGCGAUGUUGUACUGCUACUGUUCAUGUUGUUUAGUGCUUCUAGUACGCUUGAGAUUCAAAUGUUAGUAGCGGUUUUCAUCAUGUUUAAUAUUCUGUAAUUAAUCAUGGAAAUUAUGCCUAAUUACUUAACAUGAUCUAGGAAGGAGCACGUGAAAAGGAGAAGGCCUUGCCUCCGUCACGAUGAGCGGCGGCGCCCACCACGACUGGUCAGAGCGCUAGACGGCGGCCGGGCCAGUUGAGUAGGCGUUACCAGGCGCACUGUCGUCAAAGAUGGCCACUGCGCUUCCUCCACGCCGCCAUGCCUUUCCCUGCAGCUGCGAGUAGGAGCCAGCAGGAGGACAAGGAGAAGGAGCAAGUUUGUGGACUCCCGAUGCCUUCGGUUUGUUUAAAAAAAAACCGACUCUCUGUUCGGGCCGAAAUCCAGGCUCGUGAGUUUACAUCCUGGAGGGACACGCGUCGUUGCAAGUCCCACCAUCGAUCUCCUCCCGCUCCCGUCGCGAAGGAAAAAGCACCAAGCACCAAACCCUAAUCGCCUUCCUUCCUCCCCCCGCUGCCAUGUCAUCUCCUCGUUCCCGGCGUGGUAUCUUGACCACAAUCCCGGUCUCCGACGAUGGGACCUUCGGCUACUCCGUCCCGUCCCCGGCCCAUUGCUCCAGUGCAGCAGCUACACUGCGUCCGUAUGUUUUUCACAAAAAAAAAAAC